AGAACCCUAAUGUAUGUGCAUACAUGGAACCUUCAUUAGAUGCUAGGCAAGACAUGGUGGUGGUUGAGGUGCCAAAGCUCGGCAAAGAAGCCGCCGCUAGAGCCAUUAAAGAAUGGGGCCAGCCCAAGUCCAAGAUCACCCACCUUGUCUUCUGCACCACCAGUGGCGUCGACAUGCCUGGCGCCGACUACCAGCUCACCAAGCUCUUGGGCCUCCGCCCCUCCGUUAAGCGCCUCAUGAUGUACCAACAAGGCUGCUUCGCCGGCGGCACGGUGCUGCGUGUGGCCAAGGACUUGGCCGAGAAUAACGAAGGUGCUCGAGUCCUCGUUGUUUGCUCGGAAAUCACCGCCGUCACCUUCCGGGGACCUAGUGACACUCACCUAGAUAGUCUCGUCGGCCAAGCGUUGUUCGGCGAUGGUGCUGCUGCUGUUAUAAUCGGUUCGGACCCGAUUCCUGAAAUCGAGAAGCCAUUGUUUGAACUUGUUUCAGCAGCUCAAACAAUCUUGCCAGACAGUGACGGUGCCAUUGAUGGUCACCUUCGUGAAGUAGGUCUUACGUUCCAUCUCCUCAAGGAUGUUCCAGGGCUUAUUUCUAAGAACAUUGAAAAAAGCUUAGUCGAGGCAUUUCAGCCAUUGGGAAUCACUGACUGGAACUCCCUUUUCUGGAUAGCUCACCCAGGUGGUCCAGCCAUAUUGGACCAGGUGGAAGCCAAGUUAGCCCUUAAGCCUGAAAAGCUACGAGCCACAAGGCACGUUCUUUCAGAGUAUGGGAACAUGUCGAGUGCCUGUGUGCUGUUCAUUUUGGAUGAGAUGAGGAAUAAAUCAAGAGAAGAUGGGGUUCAGACCACGGGUGAAGGGCUCGAGUGGGGAGUCCUGUUUGGGUUCGGACCAGGGCUCACCGUUGAGACGGUGGUUCUCCAUAGCAUCCCAGCUUAAACAUCGCCCUGCGUCGUAAUCGUCGCCAUCAUCAUGUUAUCUGAUUCCACUUCCCUUGCAAUUUUAUUUGGGUUUAUAUAUUAUUUUCUUUGAAUUUGCGUAUGGGUCUUGUGAAAGAUUUAAUGCAGCAGUGUGCUUAAGGCCCAUGGAACUCAUGUACCAACUUCCUUGUGACAAUAAUAAGUUCUCAUUUCACCUUGCCUCCGUUGCCAACACCCAGCAAAGGGUAGAGAUAAAAUUAAGAAAAAUAAAUGAAAGCCAGACCAAACAGAAACACAACGUAAAAUGAAGUUGGUAAUUUUAGGCAAGACCAAAAUAAAUUAGAACACAACAAUAUAAAAUAAAACCAAGGAUUUUUGGUAUUUGGAGUUUAGUGUAAUUUCUUGCAAUUACAUGAAAGUGGCAUAUUUGGAUAGUUAUUGUAAUUAGAGGGUUUUAGUGAUCUGUAAUUAGGGGUGAGUAUUCGAUCGAGCUGAUGAAUCUUAUUUUAGCAACCAAAUUCAAUUUGAAAAUUUUUCGAAUCAAAUCAUAUUGAAUCGAGUCAAAAUUUUGGAGUCAAGUUAACGAAUCCUCACAUUUAUAUUCAAUGUUACUUUUACAUAAACCGAUUAUUUAACUACAUAAACAAUAUAAUUGUUUUACCUUUUAACUUAAUGAGUAAACAUUUAUCAAAAUGAUGUAGUUUUUUUGCCUUUUAAUUUAAUGAUUUUGAUUUUAACUUUAGAAAAGAUAAAUAUUUAUCAAAACGACGUAGUUUUGCCUUAUUCGGAUUUUCAGAUAACUCGAACUGUAUAAUUAAUAUUCGAGUUAAACCGAAAAAUUUGAUUUUUUAUUCAACUUGAUCUAAAUAACUCGAUUAACUCAAUUAUUUAAUUCAAAAUUUGAAUUUUUUAUUAAAUUUUUCAAAUUGAAUCGGAUUUUGCUUACCCCUAACUGUAAUUGAUAAUUGGAGCAUCCCUAUUAGGCCAAUACUAUCCUUAUGGAAUUGGGACUUGCUUUCAAAUCCAGCUAUUGAUUUUUUUAAGAUAUAAAAUUAAUGUUUAGUAGUUGGGGUUUAAAUUAGGGUAAAUUGCAUAGAUAGUUAUUCAACUAUAAAUUUUUUUCAUUUUAGGCACUCAAAAUAAAAAGUUUGUAAUUUAAGCACCCACAUUACAUAGUUCGGUCAUUUUAGUCAUUCCCGUUAAAACAAAAAAGAGAAGCCAACGUGACAGUUAAAAAAAAUCGAUAUAAUAACAAAUUUAGCCCUGAACUUUUACACAUUAUAUUAAUUUAGUCAUAAAUUUAAAAAAAUUAACCCUUAAAAUUUAUAAAUGGUCUCAAUUUGAUUCUAAUUCUAACAAAUAUAUAAAAAUACAUAAAUAUUUUCAAAAAAUAUAAUAAUAAAUUUUAAAAAAUAUAAAAAUAUAAAAUAUUGUUGAUAAGAAAUAAUAUAUAAAAUUUUAAAAUAUAUUAAAAAAUUCAAAAAUAUAAUAAUAAAUUUAAAUUUUAUACCAAUAUUUAUUUAUUAAUAUUAAAUAAAAUAAAAAUCCCUCACCCCUUUCCCCUUCCCCCACCAAACCUCCCCCACCACCAUCAUUUUCUCUCUCCCUUUCCCCUCCCUCCACCAGACCUCCCUCACCACUGUCAUUCUCUCUCUCCUUAUUUGCUAUUGCAAUUCCUAUGCCAACCAAGGAUGGGAACUUUAUUUUGCUCAUGAAAAAAAGUGAAAAAGUAAAUAUUUGUCUAAAAAAUAAGUGAUGAAACUUGGAUGGAAUCUAAUCCAAAAAGCUUUACCUUAAGUUAGAAGCAACAGUAGGGGAGUCUAAAAACAAAAGUAACAACAGAAAAGGAGAGAGAGGGACAGUGGUAGAGAGUGGAAAGGGGACGGGGACGAGGACGGUGGGGGAAAGUCUGAUGAAGGACGGGGAGAGGGGUGGGGGUGGAGGAUUUUUAUUUUAUUCAAUAUAAUUAUAUUUAUUUAAUAUUAAUAUAAAAUUUAAAUUCAUUAUCAUAUUUUCUGAAAAUAUUUAUGUAACCUCCCUAAGCCGGCCCAAACAUUAUGACUGAAUUCUGAAAGCUACAUUGGCCACUGAUGUAACACCCCUAACCUGUAUCCGUCGUCGGAAUAGAGUUAAGAGGUAUUACCGAUCAAUACACAACAUAUAAUAUGCAUUUACAACAUCAAGCAUUCAUUCUCAUACAUCAUGUAAUACAACCACAUAGUCCCAUAUAAAGGCCUACGAGACCUUAAACAUACUUUAGAAGUGGUUCGAGACUAAACUGAUAUCAUACAAGAAUUUUAGAAACUUAAAAAAAUUUUAAACAUACAGAGGUCACACGCUCAUGUGAACAGGCCGUGUGCCUCACACGGCUUCAGACACGCCCAUGUCUCAGGCCGUGUGAAAACAGGGCAUACAUACUGACUUAGGUCACACGCCAACCACACGUCCGUGUACUCUUCGAAGUGGCGACACACGCCCGUGUGACAGGCCGUGUGCUAGGCCGUGCCAAAACUGUACACGGCCAAGUCACACGCCCAUGUGCUAAGCGGUGUGCCAAUUAUGGGGUAUACUUACUUGUACCACACGGCCAGCCGCACGCCUGUGUGUAAGACCGUGUGGAGCAUAUUGACUUUAUUUUAUUAACAACACCAAGGGACACACGGCCGUAUAACAUGACUGUGUGUCACACACGGCUGAGACACACGCUCGUGUCUCUACUCGUGUGGACAAAAAAGGCCAUUUGCAAGGCCAAUUUGCCACCCUUAUUCAUGCACACCUAGACAAUCAAAAUGGUACCAUUUCAUCACAUAAUUAUAUAGCCAAAACAUCAACCAAUUGCACAAUUCAUAUAAUAUCCCUUUCAACCAAAUUCAAUAAUCAAUUCAAUGCCAUUUACCUAGUCCAGUACUUAUCAACUCAACUUCCAAAAUCAUGUUUCAUCAAAGCAUUUCUCAAGCAUUAUACACCAUAAAUCAAUUAAACAUUUGCAACUAUAAAGCCAUAACCAUAUUCAUAUCAAACAUGCCAAAAUAAGCCAUCACUUAAGUUUAUAUAUACAAAACAAAACAUAUACAUUUACAAGCCAUUUCUAAUGACCAAACACACAUCAACAUUAACAUCAUUUACAAGCCAACUCUGAUGGCUAUAAUCACAACCAAAAUACCACAAGCAGCCUAUACAUGCCAUAUACCAUAUUUAUACAACUCAAAAAUACCAAUUAGAUGUCCGAUAGUGUGAUGAUGUUCCCGACAACUUUAGGAUCUGAGCUAGCCUUGAUUCACUAUAAAAUAUUAAAAAAAUAACACAAAGUAAGCUUCAUAGCUUAGUAAGCUCGUAUGUAAAUAACUUAAUUCAUCAAAUAAAUAAAAACCAACCAAUUAUACACAUUAACUACAAACCUUUCUCAUGUCUCAAGACAUGAUCAAAUACCAUCUCAUUGAACUUUCUCUAUUUAAUACUCGAAUAGGUUCUGUACAUACCUAUAUCGCCUCGUACUAGUCUCUUUCUCAACCAUCUCAUUCAUCUACCCGUUGAACCAUUUGGAAUAGAAAUUGGAUACUCAAUAGUCUCAUACAAUAAGUACCUAUACCAUGACUCAUAACCAAAUCAAGGUAACUCAUCCGAAGCCAAAUCAUCCGAUAUGCAUGGCUCCCAAAGCCAAAUUGGUAUAACUCGCACCUGAAGUACUAAUAUCAUGGCCCGAAGCUAACUUAUUUGAUAUGCAUGGUCUGAAGCCAAAUCGAUAUAUCAUCUUAUAACAUGUCACAAGUAUCCAAAUCUAUUCCUAAGGUUCAACCGGGAUUUUCUACCUCAUCAAUUCCAUCUUCAAAUAAUUCCGUAGAGUCGUAUCUACAAUUCAUAGGUUAAUGAAAAUCUCAUAAUCACAUUUUAGGCAAUAUAAAAGCAUUUUAACAUACAUUUAUAAUGAAAUCGUCACAUAUGAACUUACCUCGAGUAUGAAAACGGCGAAAUGAGUCAAUUACUCUAUAAUAUUCCCUUUCCCCUGAUCUAAUUUCGAAUUCCUCUUUGCUUGAUCUAAAUAUAUUCGAAAUUAACUUCUUUAGUCAACCAUUCAUUCAAUUUAGUCCAAAAUAUACAUUUAAGCCUAUUUUCACUUUAGCCCCUAAACUUUCACAUUUAAUCAAAUUAGUCCUUAUUUCACAAAUACAAAAAAUUCACAAAAUUUCAUUAGUCCCAAACUUGGCCGAUUUACAUAUAAGUUCAUUUAUUUCACAUUUUAACCACACAAUUUGCACAUUUCACAAAUUAAUCCCUAUUAUGCAUUUUCAUCAAAAAUCACUUAACAAAACAUGUAAAACUAUCAUCAAACUUUCAUAUUUUAACAUUAAACAUCAAAAACUCAUAGAUUCAACAAUGGAAACUCUCAAAAUCUUUAACGGUUUCAAUAUCUAAGGUACGAGCUAGCUAGAAAACGAAGCAACGAUCUCAAAAACGUAAAAAUCAUCAAAAAUCGAGUCCAAAACAUACCUUAAUCAAAUAUUCAAAGUGACCAAAUGGAAAAACUAAUUCUUAGCUUUCUUCUUAUUCAAUAUUCGGCCAAAAAAAGAAGGAUGGACACAAAUUUCUUUUGUUUUUAUUAUAUUAUCCUUUAUUUGUCUUUUUACUAAAUUACCAUUAAAAAUAAUUCAUAUUUACACAAUUGCCAAACCAAAUAUCAUCCACUAACUCAAAAUUAGACUAUUUACCUCAUAAGGACUUAACCUUUAAGGUUCUAUAGCUAUUAAAUGCCUUUAGCUAAUAGAACGACACUUUUGCAUUUUAAGCGAUUUAGUCAUUUUUCUCAAAUUGAGCAAUUAAACAAUAAAAUUAGCUCACAAAAUUUUCACACAUAUAUGCUAUCAUGUUGUAAACACCAAAAAUAAUAUUAAAAUAAUUUUUUGACAUCAAAUUUGUGGUUUUAAAAUCACUAUUCUGAUUUAGCUAAAACCGGGCUGUUACAACUCUCCUCCUUAGGGAUUUUUGUCCCCGAAAAUCUUAUCAGUGAAUAGGUUCAGGUAUUAUUUUCUCAUAGCAUCCUCGGGUUCCCAUGUAGCUUCUUCAGCCCCGUAUCGAUGCCAUAACACUUUUUCUAGUGUAAUUUUCUUAUUUCUCAGCUCUUUGAUCUCACGAGCUAAAAUUCAAAUCAGUUCUUCAGCGUAUGACAAAUUUGACUGUAUCUCAACUUCAGUUGGAGAAAUAACGUGCGAAGGGUCUGAUCGAUAUCUUCGUAGCAUCUAUACGUGAAACACAUUAUGUAUCUUUUCUAACUUAGAUGGUAAUGCCAACCGAUAUGCUACUCGCCCAACUCGCUCAAUAACCUCGUAUGGUCCGAUGAAUCCCAGACUCAAUUUUCCUUUCUGACCAAACUGUAAUAUCUUUUUCCAUGGUGACACUUUCAAAAACACUUUAUCCCCAAUCUGAAACUCAAUAUCUUUCCAUUUAAAGCUGCGUACAAUUUCUGUCAAUCCAAUGCUGCUUCCAAGCUAUCGCGAAUUACUUUUACUUUCUCUUCAGUCUCUCUGAUUAGAUCAACCCCGUGAAUCUUAUUCUCGCUAAGCUCAGUCCAGUACAAUGAUGUUCUACAUUUACGACCGUAUAGAGCUUCGUACGGUGCCAUCGUUAUACUCGAUUAGAAGCUACUAUUGUAAGCAAAUUCAAUCAGUAGUAGAUAUUUCUCCCAGUUGCCUUUAAACUCAAGAAUGCAACAUCACAACAUAUCUUCAAGCAUCUAAAUAACUCGCUUGGAUUGACCAUCCGUUUGUGGGUGAAAUGCAGUGCUAAUAUGCAGCUUUGUACCUAAAUCUUCUUACAAUUUCUUCCAAAAUUGCAAAGUGAAUCUUGGAUCUCUAUCCGAAACAAUAGAUAAGGGAACACCAUGUAAUCUCACAAUCUUUAUACAACUCAGCCAAUUUAUCAAGCGAGAAAUCUAUAUGUACCGGAAUGAAAUGACUUGACUUCAUCAAUCUGUCAACAACAACCCAGAUCACAUCUUUCUUUUUUGGAGAAAAAGGGAAACCCGAUACAAAGUCUAUUGUUACUCUAUCCUACUUCCACUCGGGAAUCAAAAUAGGCUGUAAUAAACCUGAAAACACUUGAUGCUCAACUUUGACUUGCUGAGAAAUCAAACAUUUGGAAACAAAUUCUGAGAUAUCUCAUUUCAUGCCAUGCCACCAAUAAUGUUGUUUCAAAUUGUUAUACAUUUUCGUGGUCCCCGGAUGUACUAAUAAACAACUACUGUGUGCUUUGUUUAGAAUCUUCUAAAUGAAUUCAAAAUUUCUUGGUACACAUAUUCUAUCACGAAAAAUCAAACAAUCAUCAGGCCCAAUUUGAAACUCUGAAUUAGAAGUCGACUCACACUGAGCUCGUUUUGCUUACAAUUCAUUAUCAAAUUUUUGAGCCUCACAAAUAUGCUAUAGGAAUAACAGCCUCGCUUUCAACUCGGCUACCAUCGAAUCGUCAUCAGACAAAGCUAACUGUGUGUUCAAAGCACGUAAAGUAAAUAAGGACUUUUGACUCAAAGCAUCAGCAACUACGUUUGUUGCUCCCGGAUGAUGGUCAAUCACUAACUCAUAGUAUUUUAACAACUCUAACCAUCUCUACUGUCGCAAAUUCAAAUCUUUCUGAGUCAUCAGACAUUUCAAGCUUUUGUGGUCAGUAUAAAUAUGGCAUUUCUCACUAAACAAGUAAUGACGCCAAAUUUUCAAUACGAACACAAUCGCGGCUAACUCUAAAUUGUGUGUCGGAUAAUUCUUUUCGUGCGGCUUCAAUUGUCUCCAAGCAUAAGUUACAACUUUGCCUUCCUGCAUCAAAACACAACCCAGGCCAUUUAACGAUGCAUCACUAAAAACUACAAAUUCUUUACCCGACUCAGGCUGAAUUAACAUUGGUGCCUCUGUCAAUAAUGUUUUCAACUGCUCAAAGCUCUGUUGACACUUUUCUGACCACUCAAAUUUAACAUCUUUUUGAAGCAAUAUUGUCAUAGGAGUCGCAAUCAUUGAGAAUCUUUUCACAAAUCAUCUAUAAUAACCUGCUAGUCCCAGAAAACUACGGACUUUGGAUACAUUUCUCGGAGGCUUCCAAUCUAUAAUCGUAGAAAUUUUGCUCGGGUCAACUCGGAUACGUGCGACUGAAACUAUAUGUCCCCAAAAACCAACCUCUUGUAGCCAAAACUCACAUUUUCUAAAUUUUGCAAACAACUAUUUAUCUUUCAAAGUUUGUAGCACGAUUCUCAAAUGCUCAGCAUGCUCAGAUUCGUCAUGAGAGUAAAUUAAAAUGUCAUCAAUAAAUACUACUACAAAUUGGUCUAAGUACAGCCUAAAAAUCUGGUUCAUCAAGUCCAUAAAAACCACAAGUGCAUUUGUUAGUUUGAAAGGCAUAACAAGAAAUUAGUAGUGUCCGUACCUUGUUCUAAAUGCAGUCUUUGACACAUCUGAGUCUUGAACUCGAAACUGGUAAUAACUCGAUCUCAAGUUAAUUUUCGAAAACACUGUUGCCCCUUUUAACUGAUCGAACAAAUCAUCUAUUCGUGGCAAAGGGUACUUAUUCUUGAUCGUCACUUUAUUGAGUUAUCGAUAGUCUAUACACAUUCUCAUUAUGCCAUUUUUCAUUUUCACAAAUAACAUUGCUGCACCCCAGGGAGAGAGCAAUUGAGCUUUCAAUUCUUUUAACUCUGCUGGAGCCAUUCUGUAUGGAGUUAUCGAUAUUGGCGUUGUUCCCAGUACUAAUUCAAUACCAAACUCAACCUCUCUAAUAGGUGGUAAACCCAAUAACUCUUCUGGAAAGAUAUCUGGAUACUCGUACACUGGUACUAAUUCAAUAUUUGUUUUUUUCACUUUUGUAUCAAGUACAUAUGCAAGAUAAGCUUCACACCCCUUUCUCACAAAUUUCUGAGCUAGCAUAAACGAGAUCACAAUUGGAAAACUACUCAGAUCAUCAGAUUCGAUUCUAAUAGUCUCAUUAUUUAGACAUUUCAGUUCAAUUAUAUUUUGUCUACAAUUCACUAUAGCAUCAUGCAUCGUUAACCAAUCCAUACCCAAAAUCACAUCAAAUUCAUCGAAUGAAAAUAACAUCAGAUUAGCCUGAAAGCAAAAAUCCCGAUGUAUUAACAGACAAUUCUUGCAGACUUUGUCAACCGAAACAUAUUUGCCUAAGGGGUUCGAUACUCUAAUCACAAAUUUAGUAGACUCUACAGGUAAAGUCUUACUGGAUACUAAAUUCAUACAUAUAUAAGAAUAGUUGAUCUUGGAUCUAUCAAUACAAUCACAUUAGUAUCAUAGAGAGUGAAAGUACCGGUGAUAGCAUCUGGAGAUGACGCUUCUUCGCGAGUGCGAAUAGUGUAGGCUUUGGCAGGUGCUUUGGCCUCCGAUCUUACUGCUGAAUCCUUUGUUGUCCCUCUACUACCACUUACAUUUCCAGUAACUCUAGGUGGUCUACCUCUAUUCGACAUGUUACUUGGUCUCACAUUCUGAACUUUACUUUUCUCAUCCAGCUCAAGAUAAUCUCGUAUGAAAUGAUCUAUUGAACUACAUUUAUAACAAGCUUUAUUAUUUUUAUUCUAGCAUUCACCAUAAUGUCACCUCCCACACUGUUGGCAUUCAGGUUUGUUAUCUUUCCCACUGCCAACACUCACUACUGAUGUGGCUAGCUUUAGAACCUGAGUAUUGUUUUCUACUGAUGAAGAUUGAUACGACUUACUCAUUGAUCAUUUUCUCAAGUCUCUAGCUUUUGAAUCUGCUUUUCUCUUUUCUUUGCUAAAAUCCUCAGCUUUACAAGCCCUUUCAACUAGAACGACAAAUUCUUUUAAUUCUAGAAUUCCAACUAGAAGUUUUAUAUCUUCGUUCAGCCCAUCAACAAACCGCUUGCACAUUCUUUCUUCAAUAGACACAUACUCUCGAGCAUACUUACAUAAUGGUACAAAUUCUCUUUCAUACUCAUAAUAGUCAUCCUGACUUAUUUUAACUUUAGAAACUCUUUAUGCUUUUGAUCAAGAAAUCACUGACUUAUAUAUUUCUUUCAAAACUUCGUCUGAAAAAAUUCCUAGGUAAGCCGUUCUUUUAGAACCGGAUUUGCUGAGGAAUAGGUAGGGGUGGAGGUUAUUGAGCAGCCGAAUUCAUUCGAACGAACUCCGUGAACCACUCGCUCAUCAUUUGAAAAAAAAGGCUUGUUUAGCCUCUGUAACAUCUCGAAAUAGGGCCUAAAUGGAAUAGUGGUUGCGAAACCACAAAUCUGAGAUAGAAAAGUUUAUUUCGAUUAAUUUUUAUGAUUUACCAAGUGAUUAGAUGCAUGUGUUAGAGUUGAUAAGAAAUUUAUAGAUUGCAUGUUUAAUUUGCCUAUUAGGGUUUAUUUGCAGAAGUUGCUGUAACAGCCCAAUUUAGGGCCUAAACGGAACGAUGGUUUUAGAACCAUGAAUUCAAAGUCAAAAAAUUUAUUCCGAUUAAGUUUUAAGGUUUAUUUAUUGAUUAAAAUAUUGUGUAAAAAUAUCGUUAAGUAAUUUUACUGAUAAAGUGCUUAAUUGGACUUUUAGGACUAAAUUGAAUUGGAAAAGUUGCAAAAUAUGUGUUCUAAUUCAUAAGUACUUGAUUGAAAUGGAGGUUUAAAGAGGAGGUCCUUAAAUGGUAAUUAGACCAUUAUAUUUUGUUUGGACAAAAAUGGGCAUGAAUAGGACAAACUUUUAAAGAAAGGCCUUAAGGGCAUUUUAGUCAUUUGGUAAUUAAAAGAAAUAAAAACGGAAAUAAAGCCAAAAUUGACUCAUCUUUUUCAUGGAGGCCAAAAUUAGCAUGGGGGAAGCCAUGGCUAGGGUUUUUAAGCUUUCCAAGCUCAAUAGUAAGUCCGUUCUAGCCCCGUUUUUCAAGUUCUUUACGAUUUUGGAAUCCCGGUAACUUGAUUAAGCUUAUUCUAGCAAUAAUUUAAGCUAGGGUUCAUAUUUGGAAAAAUACCCAUAGGUGAAAUGUGUUUAUUUUUAUGUUUAAUGGUAGAAUAUGAAGGCUGAAAUUAUGUUAAACAACUUUUGCUAGGCUGUUUUAAACAAAAAAUGAGUAAAAGGCUUAAUCGGUAAAAGUUGUUAUUGUUCAUAACUAUGUGUUAGAGUGAGAAUUUGAUGUUUCAAUAGAAGGGAAAAAUGAUAAGCAUGUCAUAAAACAUAAGAAUAAGGGAUGAAGUUUAAUUCUCGAGCCUAGGGGCAAAAGUGUAAAUAUGCAAAAGUUUAGGGGCAAAAUUGUAAUUUUUCAAAAGUUUGAGUUAAUGACUGUUUUGAAUAGUACAAUAAUUAAAUAAGUAAAAUAUGAUGUUUUAGAUCCCGGAAAACGAGAUUUGAAUCUAGAAUGGGAUAAAAAUUGAAAAUCGAGAAAGUUGGUAAAAUGACCGUUUUAGUAUCGAGGUAAGUUCAUAUGUAUAAUAAGCAUUAAUUUAUGCAUGUUUCAAGGUAAAAUUGAUAUAUUUACUAUGAUUGCUGAGGUGUUGAAAGUAAGUAUAAUUAUGAUGAUUUAAAUGUUCAAUAUUAAUUCGACAUGGAAAUGAGAAAGUAUGUAAGUUUGUAUGUAAAUAAUACAUUAUCUUAUUAUGUUUUUGUAUUUCAGCAUAUUUUAUGUAUUGUAUCUGAUUUUUGAAUCAUAAUUGACUAUUGAAAAUAUGGAAUCAAGUAUUAGAAAGAGAAAGAAAUCCCGGUUGAACCUUCGGAAAGAUUGGAUGAUACAGAUGGUAUGUAGCUAGGUCACAUGUAUGGUGCUGAGUGCACAUCAUGUGUACAAGAGAGCUACGAGAUAUUAUGAUGUAGCUAGGUCGCAUGGGUGAUACUAGUGUACACCGUGUAGACAAGAGAGCUACGGGAUAUAUGUAGCUAGGUCGCAUGCGUGGUUCUAGGUGAAGGACACCAUGUAGACAAGAGAGCUAUGAGAUAAACUGGCUAGGUCACAUGGGUGGUACUAAGUGUUCACCAUGUGUACAGGAGAGAAAAAAUUAUGUGUACAAUCGAGUUAGGUCACAUGAGUGGUGCUAAGUGAAGGCCACUAUGUAUACAAGAGAGCUUCGAUUUUAAAGGUGGGCUAUGUGCGAUACCAUUGCGAUCUGUUAAUAUUCCGAAGCGUUCAAUUGGGAAAUUGAUUAAAUGAAAUUGUGUAUGACUUUGUGAUGAUAAGUGUAAGUAUAUACGUGUGUAACUUAUGAGAAAUAUGCUCAAUAUGUGAUUGGAAAUUGGAAAUAUUUUUAUGGGAAAGUGAUGAAUAUAAUUGAAGUGUGAAAGAUCAAAAUUGACAAUAAAACUGUUCUGGAUAGUUGCAGUGACGUGAAUCUAAAAAUCUACCAAAAGUAGUAGAAAUUGAAUCAGAGACUGAAUGAGAUAUCAAAUUAGAUCUUAAUGAGUCUAUUUUCAUAUAACAAAAACAUAGCAAGCAAAGGAAUUGAGAUAUUUAAGUUUUUGAGAGACUAGUUCAGAAUGACUACGUGGUCCCCUGUUCUGACUUGGAAAAAUCAUUAAAAAUUUUAAAAAAAUAAUUAUGGGAUAUAAUUUAUAUGCUUGAAAUCCUUAAUGAGUAUAGUUUUAAUUGAAAUAAACCAAAACAUCCUUUGAAUUCUUUACGAGGAGAAAAUCGAUUCGUAGUGAAGAGUAGUCAGAACAGUUGAGCAGUGAAACAGGGUUAACUUCAAUGAAUAAACUGUACUAAUUGGCUAGACCAAAAAAUUUUGAAAAUUUUAUGGUAAGAAUAUAUAUGGAUCUAGUUUCAUAGAAAAUUAACGGUUUGUAAUUUGGAGUUUUGUAGCUCCAGAAAUAAAUAAUUUAGUUUCUGGUACUCUGCUAGACAGCUUAUUUUGAACCUGUUUAUGAUUGUAAUAGUGAAAGUAUGUGUGUUUGUGAUGGUAAUAUUCCGGGAACAUAUUGUUACUUUGUUUAAAGUAUGAUAAUGUAUUGUUUAUUAAUAUUUACAUACUUACUUACUAAGCUAUAAUGCUUACUCCCUUCCUUUCCGUUUUCCUAUAGUGUCGCAGAUGUUAGCUCGAGUUGGAGGUCGUCGGAGGUUAAAUCACACUAUCAAACUAUUGAUCGAUAUAUAAAGGUUUUAAAGUAUUUUAAGUUUUUGGCAUGUAUGGAGACUCGUUUAAUUGUUAUUAAGUUGCUAGGAAUUGGCUUAAAAUACUGACCUAUGUUAUUUGAAGGUCUCUAUUGUAUAAAGUCAUUUAAUGUAGAUAGUCUUGAUUAUGUUAUUAAUUAUGAAUCGGUUUUUAUACGAUGAUUAGUGAUUAAGUCCGGUAAUGCCUCGUACCCUGUUCCGGAAUCAAACAUGGGUAAGGGGUGUUACAGCCUUUCUCUCGUGGCUACUUGUUAUAGGCUUAGAAUCAGAUGGCACUACCCCUUUAGUGAGAGAAGGUGUAUUACUCUCUACACCAUCAGCUACAGCUUUUUCGGGAUCCAUUACUAUAUGAAAACACAAUUUAAACAGUCAGGAAUCAUCACACUAUCGCAGAGUAUAUAUGGCAUGUAAAGCUAGACUCUCACACAAGCUACGUUAGUCCUAGAAUCGAAUAAAUUGUAGCUUUGAUACCAAUAAAAUGUAACACCCCUAACUCGUAUCCGUCGUCGGAAUAGAGUUAAGAAGUAUUGUAACAGCCCAUUUUUGAGUCAAAUCAGAACAAUGGUUUAGGGACCACAAAUCUAAGGUCAAAAUAUUUAUUUUAUUAUUUUAAUAAGGUUUACAGCAUGAUAGAAUUAUUGUGUGAAAGUUUCGUAAAUAAAUUUUACUGUUUGAAUGCUUAAUUCGAUAAAAAGGACUAAAUCACAUAAAGUGCAAAACUUGUGUUCUAUUAGCUAAAAGUGUCAAAUAGCUAUAGAACAUUACAGUAAAGGUCCUUAAGUGGUAAAUAUACCAUUUCUAGGUUAGUGGAUGUUAAUGGUUUGGCAUAAAUGAAAUUUUGAAUUAAUUUUAAGGUUAAAAUGGUAAAUGGUUAAUAAAUGAUAAAAUAAUUAAAAAAAACAUAUUAUUUCAGUGUCAUCUUCACUUAGCUGAAUCUAAAGAAGAAAAAGAAGAAAAUUUUUGUUCAUCUAGGGUUUGUUCAAUAGAAGUUAAAUUGGUAAGUGAUUUUGACUCGAUUUUUGAUGAUUUCUACGUUUUUAAGAUCGUUGCUUCAUAUUCUAGCUAGCCCGUACCUUAGAUUUUGAAAUUUCUAAAGAUUUAUCAUGUUUCUAUUGUUGAAUGCUUAAGUAAUUUGAUAGUUAAUGAUGCAUUUUGAAUAAUUGUUGAUAAUUAAAUUAGUUUUGUAAAGUGAUUUUUGACAAAACUGUCAAAAAUGGAUUAAAUUGUGAAAAUGUAAAAUUAGGUGGGUAAAAGUGUGAAUAAAUUAAAAAUAUAGGUUGCUAGUAACAUGUGGUAAAUUCGGCUAAGCAUGGAUUGUACUAAAUUGCAUGAAUUUACAAUUUUAUGUGAUAAGGACUAAAUUAUAAAAAUAUGAAAGUUUAGGGGAAAAUGUGUAAAAUAGCCCUAAUAUGUGUUUUGGGCUAAACUGCAUAAAUAGUUAAUUAAAUAAGUUGAUUUUGAUAAUAUAUAGAUCAAGAUAAGCUGAGAUCGGGUUUAGAUUAGGGAAAAGAAAAAGUUGAUGAAUAGUUGAUAAUUUCCAUUCGAGCUACUCGAGGUAAGUUCGUAUAAUUAGAAUCAAACUUUUAAAUACUUAAAAUAAUUGUAAUGAAUGUGUAUAAUUGAGUAGUUGAUAUAUUUGGAAUGUGAAUGCCUUAUCGAUAUAGUUUAUUUGUUACCAAGCCCCGUUUGAAUCGUAAGAAUUCGUAGGAUACGUGUGACAUGUCACUAGGGUUACCAUUUUGGUUGAGACCCUGCAUGUGUUGCAAACUCACCACAGCUCGUAUGAGCUUACCAAUAUAUCAGAUGGUAAGAGCUUAUUGUUCUUAGCUCGUAUGAGCUUACUGUUUCAGCUCAUCAAAGCUUACCGUUUCAGCUCAAUGAGCUUACUGUCCAUUAGCUCAGGAGAAGCUUACUGUUCAUAGCUCAAAAGAGUGGAAAAUGAUAAGGAAUUGACGAAUUACUGAUUUAUAUGUACUGUAUAUCACUCGAGUAUCCCUCGAGAUUCUAAUAGGUUCAACUUGCAUAAAUUUUAUGAUAUGGUAAAGUAAUGUUUAUACAAACGAAUUGCUGAUAUACGAUUGAAAGUAAAAUGUUACAAAUGAUGUUCAUGAUAUAUGUGAAUUUGAUACGAUACAAUGUAUUGAGUAUUUACAUUGAGAUUAUGGAUGGUUUCAUGUAUUUAGAUGACUAACUUGUGAUGAAUGUUUGUGUUUAGGUAUUUGGUAAUUGAAUUGAAUAUACUUUAAUUAUUGCCUUGAUUAUGUAUAAAUGGUAAGUUUAGUUCUGAAUUAUAUGGGCUUACUAAGCUAUAAAACUUACUCUGUUUCUUUUUCCACGUUUUAUAGAGGUUCGAUAGCUGGCUCGUUUGGGACAGUUUGGAGUUACACAUCACACUAUCCAAUUGUUGGUUGGUACUUUUGAACUUGUGGUUAUAUGUAAAUAUUGCAUGUAUAGGCUAGUUAUAAUGGUGAUAAUUAUGGUCACUUGAGAUUGUGAUUUUGGUACAGAUUGUGUUAUAAGUCUAAUCCAUGUGAUUUGGCUAAACUUGUUAUUAUGUUUAGGUAUGUUUUGGCAAUUAGUUGACGGAAUGGGAAUAUGCAAAUGUGUUUUGUUAUAUGGUAGGUUUAUGAAUGGGAAAUGUAUGAUAUUAGCUAAGUAUUUGAAUACUUUGAGAAAAUGAUAUCAUAUGUGUAUGAAAUGUUAAGGAAUGGUUGUCAAUUGGGUUGUAAAAAUGUUACCAUUUAUGCUUUUGUACUUGUGUGAAAAUAGGGUGGCAUAAUGACUUUGCAAAUAGCCUAUUUUUGUCCACACGGGUAAAGACAUAGGCGUGUGUCUCAGCCGUGUGUGAUACAUGGUCAUGUUACAUGGUGGUGUGUCCCUUGAUGAUGAUAUUAAAUGAAGUCAGUAUGCUCCACAUGGUCUCACACAUGGGUGUGUGACUUGGCCGUGUUGAAUAAGUCAGUAUACCCUACAGGUUUGGCACAGCCUAGUACACGGCCUAGCACACAAGCGUGUGUGGCCACUUUGAAGGGCAGAUGGGCUAGACACAUGGGUGUGUGGUUGGCCGUGUGACCCAAGUUAGUAUAUUUUCUAGUUUUCACAUGGCCUGGCACACGGGCAUGUCUUCGGCCGUGUGAUGCAAGUCAGUAUGUAUGCCUUGUUUCCACAUAGGGGCGUGUCUACUAGCCAUGUGAGGCACAUAGCCUGUUCACACUGACGGGUGGUUCCUGUAUGUUUGAAAAUUUUCUAAGAUCCUAAAAUUUUUCAUAUGAUAUCGGUUUAGUCCUGAACCAUUUCUAAAGCAUGUUUAAGCACUCGUAAAUCCUUAUAAGGGACAAUAUGAUGGUGUUAAAUGAUAUUUGAAUAUGAAUACAUAAAUGUAUGAGUUUUGUAUGUUAAAUGAUGUGUUUUGUUAGGUAAUACCUCGUAACCCUACUCUGACGAUGGAUACGAGUUAGGGUGUUACAUUUAUUGGUAUUAGAGCCAUGGUUUAGUCAAUUCUAGGACUAACGUAGCGUAUAUGAGUCUAGCUAUACACGCCAUAUCUAAAACUUUGAUAGUGUGAUGUCUCCUGACAUUUUCAGAUGUGUUUUUAUCUAAAACUCAGCAAAUAUGCUCGUGAAUGUGUUUCUUCUAAAGCUAUAAUGUGUAAAAUAUUCGAAGAUCGAUUGACUGAAGAAAUUAGACUAUUAGUUGGAAUUCUUGAGCCGAAAGAGUUUGUCGUUCUAUUUGACAGAGCUUGUAAUGUCGAAGAACUUUGCAAAGAGAAAAGAAAAGCCGAUUCUGAGGCUAAAGGCUUUAGAAAGAGAUUUGCAGGCAAAUCACAUCAUCAGCAUCAAAGAAUCUAGAGAAUAUCAUCCUCAUUCUACUGCUUCUGUGGGGAUUUCGAUUAGAGACAGAGAUGCCAGACAUUUUAGCUUUAAAUCUCAGACGAUAUCAUUGCCAAUAUGGGUAGUGUUAGAAAUGCUGGGUCCGAAUGUAAACACUGCAAUAAGCAACAUUACGGUGAAUGUAGAUUAGUGAAUGGAGCUUGUUCUAAAUGUGGAUCUCUUGAUCAUUAUCUCCUGGACUGUCCAGAAAGUUUAUAGCUGAAAAAGAUCCACCAACAAAAUUAAGUAAUACGACUACUAGAGGAAGACCACCCCAAAACACUGGAAAUUCGAGUGGUAAACAAGGUGCUACGAGAGCUUCUGUUGUGAGAUCUAAGGCACGAGCACCUGCCUGAACUUAUGCUAUCCGUGUACGGGUGGAGGCAUCAUCGCCAGACAUUAUUAUCGGUACUUUUUCUCUUUUUGAUACUGAUAUAGUUGCGUUGAUAGAUCCUGGAUCAACCCAUUCAUAUAUCUGUAUGAAUUUAGCAUUUAAAAAGAGUUUACAUGUCGAGUCUAUAGAGUUUGUCAUUAAAGUAUCGAAUCCCUUAGGAAAGUCUGUUUUAGUUGAUAAAAUUUGUAAGAAUUAUCCUUUGAUGACUUGGGGUUAUUGUUUUCAGGUUGACUUGAUGCUUCUACCGUUCGAUGAGUUUGAUGUGAUUCUAGGAAAGGACUGGCUGACUAUGCAUGAUGCAGCUGUAAAUUGUAGGCGAAAGGUUAUGGAAUUGAAAUGUCAAAAUGGUGAAAUUCUUCGGGUUAAGUCUGAUGAUUCGAGUGAAUUACCUACUGUGAUAUCAGCUAUGUUAGCCCAGAAAUGUAUGAAAAAGGGUUAUGAUGCAUAUCUUACAUACGUACUGGGUACUAAGGUGUCUGAAUCAAAGAUUGAAUCUAUUCCUACUGUUUUUGAGUUUUUGAAUGUAUUUCUAGAAGAAUUACCGGGUUUGCUGCUGAUCAGAGAGGUUGAAUUUGGUAUUGAAUUAGUAUUGGGAACAACAUCGAUAUUGAUAGCUCCGUACAGAAUGGCUCCAAUAGAAUUAAAAGAGUUGAAAGCUCAGUUGCAAGAAUUGACAGACAGAGGUUUUGUGCAACCAAGUUACUCUUCUUGGGGUGCACAAGUAUUGUUCAUGAAAAAGAAAGAUGACACAAUGAAAAUGUGCAUCGAUAACAGACAGCUGAAUAAAGUGGCUAUAAAGAAUAAAUACCCUCUACCGUGGAUUGGUGAUUUAUUUGAUCAGUUAAAAGGGGCUACAGUAUUUUCAAAGAUUGAUUUGAGAUCGGGAUAUUAUCAGUUGCAAGUUAAAGAGUUGGGCCGAAAACUGCAUUCAGAACAAAGUAUGGACAUUAUGAAUUCCUUGUUAUGCCUUUUGAGUUAACUAACGCUCUUACAGUUUUCAUAGAUUUGAUGAACCGGAUAUUCAGACCAUAUUUAGACAGAUUUGUUGUUUUAUUCAUUGACAAUAUUCUGAUUUAUUCGCGAGAUGAAUUUGAACAUACUGAGCAUUUAAGAGUUAUGUUACAAACUAUACGUGUUGAGCAAUUAUUUGCAAAGUUCAGCAAACGUGAGUUUUGGCUCCGAUAGGUUGGAUUUCUAGGGCAUAUUGUUUUAGCUGAAGGUAUUAGAGUUGACUCGAGUAAGAUUUCUGCUAUUGUUGCUUGAAAAUCUCGAAGAAAUGUGUCUGAAGUUCGUAGUUUUCUGGGUUUAGCGGGAUAUUACUAAAGAUUCAUAAAAGGAUUCUCGAUGAUUGUGACACUGAUGACACGACUGCUUCAAAAGAUGUGAAGUUUGAAUGGUUAGAAAAAUGUCAGUAGAGUUUCGAACAAUUGAAAGUACUAUUAAUUGAAGCACCAGUUUUGGUUCAACCGGAAUCAGGGAAAGAAUUUGUGAUUUAUAGUGACGCGUCAUUAAAUAGUCUGAGAUGUGUUCUAAUGCAAGAAGGAAAAGUUAUAGCCUAUGCUUCCCUAUAAUUGAAACUGUGUGAAAAGAAUUAUCCUAUGCAUGAUUUAGAUUUGGCUGCAAUUGUGUUCGCAUUGAAAAUUUGGCGACACUACUUAUACGGUGAGAAAUGCCACAUUUAUACGGAUUACAAAAGCUUAAAAAUAUUUGAUGUCACAGACAGAUUUGAAUCUGUGACAACAAAGAUGGCUCAAGUUAUUGAAAGAUUAUGUCUUUGUGAUUGAUUAUCACCCGGGAAAAGCUAAUGUUGUUGACGUUGCUUUGAUCCGAAAAUCUUUGUUUGAAUUACGAGUAAUGAAUACCCAGUUGAUGAUCUAUGAUGAUGGCUCUAUUUUAGCUGUAUUAAAAGCUAAACAGGUAUUUCUUCAACAAAUCUACGAAUCUCAGAAAAAUGACCGUGAAUUGCAAGUUAAAUGAAUUCAAUGUAAGAACAUCCUUGAUUCAGAGUUUCAGAUUGGAACUGAUGAUUGUUUAAGGUUUUGAAAUAGAAUUUACAUACCCAGAAGUUUAGAACUCAUUCAGAAGAUUUUGCACGAAGAGUACCGUAGCUGCUUAUCUGUUCAUCCGGGAAGUACCAAAAUGUACAACGAUUUGAAACAGUUUUAGUUGUGGCAAGGUAUGAAACAAGAUAUAUUAGAGUUUGUUUCUAAAUAUUUGAUUUGUCAACAAGUCAAAGUUGAAUAUCAAGUACCGUCAGGUUUAUUACAGCCUGUGAUGAUUCAUGAGAGGAAAUGAGAUAGAAUUACAAUGGAUUUUAUGUCGGGAUGCUAUCUAGGUUGUCGUUGAUUGACUAACAAAAUCUGCUCAUUUCAUACUGGUACGUACAAAUUACUCACUUGAUAGAUUAGCUGAAUUGUACAUUUUUUAUAUUUUUGAUUGCACAGAGUGCCACUAUAUAUUAUUUUUGUAGAGAUUCGAGAUUUACGUCACGAUUCUGGAAGAAAUUACAAUAAGCACUAGGUACGAAGUUGAAUUUCAGUACUGCUUUUCAUCCUCAGACUAACGGUCAAACCGAGAGAGUUAUUCAGAUUCUCAAAGACAUGUUGAGAUGUUGUAUUUUAAAGUUAGAGGGUAGUUGGGAAAAAUACUUACCAUUGAUUGAGUUCGCGUAUAAUAACAAUUUUUAGACAAGUAUAAAGAUGGCAUCGUACGAAGCUUUAUAUGGUCGCAAAUGUUGAACUCUGCUAUACUAACCUGAACUAAGUGUGAAAAAGAUUCACGGGGUUGAAUUGACCAGAGAAACUAAAGAAGAAGUGAAAACGAUUCACGACAGUUUAAAAGAAGCUUCAGAUCGAUAGAAAUCAUACGCGAGUUUGAAACAUAAAGAAAUUGUUUCUAAAGGUGUCACCGUGGAAAAAGGUUCUUUGAUUCGACCGUAAAGGGAAGUUGAGUCUGCGUGUAAUGCCUCAAAUUUGAUAAAUUUGUUUCUAUGAGUUUCUGACACAACUGUGUAUCUGCUUCAAUGGUUAAGUGUUCUAGAAGUGUCUGAGUGGUCUCAAGUUCAAGCCUUGCCUUUGGGAAAUUUUGGCUUUCUCCUGAAUUAAGCCUUAACUUCUAGUUAGUAGGCUUAUAUUAAGUAUCUGUAAUGUCAUAUCGUAAUGGGCCUGCUGGUUUGAUGGUUAGGUGGAGUGUUCGAUUGCAUGAGGUCCUGAGUUCGAUUCCUGGCUUUGGCUUUAUUUUUGCAUGUUUAUGGGGAGGAGUUUGAGUGGUAAUAGAAUUCUCUGUAGUGGGGAUUUGGUGGAGAGAAUUUAGGGGGAAAAGAUUAGGGGGAUAUCAGAAUAUCCCAUUUGGUUUCCUUUUUGCAAAGUUUGAGUUCCUUAUCCCCCUCUCUGCCGAAAAUCCCAUCUCCCUUGCCCUAUUCCUUGUUCGUUGUUUUUGUUGGUUUCCAAAUUACCUUCGGUUUUCCUGCAUUGUUAUCGCGUGUUCAGUAAGUGUGUAAGUAACGUUUUGGUUCAGGGACUGUAGAAUCGUUAUUUAAUGAGUUUAGUUCAUGUUUAGGAAAAGGCUGAGAGGCUAGUGGUCACGCUUCUUUGUACUGAAUCAGGAUUCAGUUCGGUGGUUAUCGGUAAGCCGUUUAUGCGUUUAUGGGAUUCUCCGUUUCAAUUUGGUUUUAUUGCAUAUCAAGUGUUAACCUGGUAUUUAUCAGUCAAUAAUAGGUUCUGGAGUACUCGGGGUUGUCUUAGCUCUGAAUCGAUACCAGGUGUGUACCCAAAAACAUAAAAAACGAGAAUCGGUGAAAGCCCAAAAAUGAAACUGUCGACCCCACAUGAGAGUGUGGUCACCCGUGUGAUAGGCCGUGUGGCAGUACAUGGGUAUAUGAUAGACAAGCCAGGCCGUGCGCAUAAGACAUCGGAGCAUGACACAAUCGUUUGAUGGCCGGUGAGGCCAUGUACGAGAAAUGGUCUCAACCAUUUGGGCCGUGUGGGCCACACUGGUAUGUGGGCCGACAUGGGUAUACCACACGGGCGUGUGGAACUCUGUGCCAGGUGUGUGAUCCACAUGGCCAAGGCCAAUUUGGGCCGUGUGGGCCCAUAUAGGCAAGCCACGUGGGCGUGUGAGCCUAUCUUUCUGAAAUAGUCUGAAAGGUUGCUCAGGUCGCCCAAGUCGACUGGGACCUACUGUAGGGUCAGUAAGAGUUACUUGACCCUGAUUACGUGAUCUGACUAUGUGAUAUAUGUGCUCUAGCAUGUUACUCUUAGCAUGUAGACAGAUUUGUAUGUAUAAUCUGUUAAUUGCAUACUUGCAUGUCUUGUAUUGUAUGCUACAUUGCAUCGGGUUAGGUUAAUGUAUAUGAAGGAAGUAUUCUGAAAGGCUCCUAAGCCUGAUAUCUGGCAGCAUAGCUGCAAUUAUCUAAUUAUGUGCCGCAUUUCAGUACAGCAUGGUGUGUAAGGAUGGGAGGGUCGAUUUUAUACCUACAUGGUGUGUAGGGUUGGACGGAGUUAGUGUGUAGAGGCUGGUGGGUAGGAAUCUAUUAUUCUGCUUUGUUAUACGUGAUAUAUCUGAGAUGGGCUAAGGUCCAGUUCGUAUCUGAUUUUGUAUCUGAGAGGAUAAUGUUCACCCCGGUUCUGUAAAGGGUUCAGGCCCAAAUUAUCUGAUAUUUGGAUAUAUUACUGAUUUCAGCUAUUGUGUAUAUUUUCUGUGGGGAUUACAUAUUGAGUUUGCGAAAACUCACCCUUUUUCUGUUUAAUCUGUGUAGGUAAUCUGUGUAGUUUGCGAAAAUUAUCUGUUUUUUUGUUUAAUCUGUCGGCGAUGGCUACACGGUUUUCUACUUGGACUUUUUUCUAGUUACUUAUGAUUUAAUUUAUAUUUGGGGAAAAUUUGUUGUUAUUAAGGCCUUUAUAGAUUUUUUUCUUAAUUUGGGAUUUUGAAAUGUUUUACAGUUUUUACUGCUAGUAGUAGCAAAACUCGAGUUAUCAAAAGAACCGAAUGUUUUACAAAACUACCACGCAUACGAAAAUGGUUUUAAAAGAUUCCGCGUAAAAGCAUUGCUUUAAAUUAGAACAAUUAGGACGCGUUUGCCCAGACUAAGUACUAGUUAAUAAUUGGUACGGUUUUAAGGUCAAUACAGUUUCAAAAAACCCUCUCAUGUGACAUUGCCAGAUUCGGCCAUAACGUCCAGGCCGGGUUUGGGGUGUUACAUUUAGUGCUAUUAGAGCCAGGUCAGAGAACUUGGCUGCAAAUUUGGGAUUUAAAAACUGGUUUUAAAGAAAAGAUUUGUAAAUAAUCUUACAUAUUUUUUGAAUAAGUAUGUGGUACACCGAGUCUCCAGCGCUGAUCCUGUAAAUUUUCUAAACCUCUGUUUAGAAUUGUCUGAAUGCAUGAUUAGAAUAUAAUGAAACUACUUUGGUUAGUAUAUUGCACUGAAAACACUCUAGGAAGUGUAAACUGAAAAUUGUAGUGAGACUACGAAUCGCAAUAACAUACUCUGAACAUUUUAAUACUGCACUGUAUAAAAUGUCUGUUAAUAAAAUAUCAGAACUAUUAACUAAUGCAUAAAAUGUUAAUACUGAUAAAUUUUAAAAUUUAUGAUGAGCACACAUGGUACUCGUGGACGGGGUACUAGAGGCAAUGGUAAGGGCCGUAGAGGGGCUCGAGCUGAGUCCUUGGCAUCUGAUACUAUUUCGAAUCUGGAUACUAGCAAGACGCCGGUAUCACCUGCGACAGAGAUUGGGUCUGGGUCUCAUGAUCGUGCGGUUGGGGAUGACGCAUUAUUCUAGACCAUGCUAUGAAUUUUAGAGAGGGUCGCUGGGGCCAACACUGAAUCUAGGGGCUGACGGUCAGUUACACAAUGACUCCAGUCUAAUGGGGCUUAGUUAACGUGGCUGAGUAUUGGAUGGAGGCCACGGAAAGAAUUAUGGACGACCUGGAUUUUAUUGCUGAGCAGAAGCUUAAGGGAGAUAUAUCUCUCUUCUGAUGAAGCGUACCAGUGGUGGUUGACGGUUAAGGAGGGCACUCAGCCCGACAGAUUGACAUGGGAUCUUUUUAAGACGGCUUUCUAGAGUAAUUAUGUGGAGGCCAGUUACAUUGACACAAGGAGCCGAGAGUUCCUUAAUCUCAUCCAGGGAGACCAAACAGUGACCGAGUAUGAGGCCGAAUUCCUGAGGCUGAGUCGUUAUGUACGAGGCAUGGUGGCGUCUGAAUAUGAGAGAUGUGUCCAUUUUGAGGAAAGCCUUAGAGAUAACCUGAGGGUGAUGAUAGCUCCGAAGAGGGAGUGUGAGUAUGUUGUUCUGGUCGAGAAAGCCAAGAUUGUUGAGGAUAUUAAGCGCGCAGAGCGUUAAAACAGAGAUCGCGAGAGGGGUAAGAACAAGAGGGAUUCGAAGCUGGGCUAAUGAGAGUUGGGCCUCCAGUUGCACCUACUGGGGUGAUGCUGUGUGGGCACUGUGGUAUUCGCCUUCUCGGUGAGUGUUGAAGGACUAUUAGGGCGUGCUUAAGAUGUGGGUUGACUGAGCAACGUGUUCUAGAUUACUCGUUGAGAAUUGAUCAAGUGCAAGCUUUGGGUUCUAGUACUGUACAGCCGUCGAGAGUAGCUCAGCAGCCAUUUAGGGACUGAGCUCAGGCUAGGGGUGGUAACGAUGUGGGCUGAGGAUAGAUAGCACCGGGCAGAGGUAUUGGACCUUCUGAGGCGAGGCAGCCACUUUGGUUUAUGCUGAUCGUCGCCAUGAGGACUGAGAUACUUCGGACGUCAUUACGUGUACGUUUUUAAUAUUUGAUGUACCUUCUCUUGCAUUGAUAGACAUAGGCUCUACACGCUCUACGUAGCUAGGUGAUACGUGAUAUUCGCGACAGGUUUUAAAAAUUUAUAUUUAAUCGUUCGUGAAACUAACUAUUAUCAUGAUGAAGGUAAGUGUACCUAUCGAACAGUAGUAUAGCUUUAGCAAGACUGGAUUAUCGAACCCAAAGGAACCAAGAGUACUAGUAAUUACUUUCAUUUUAUUAUCUAGCCUAAAGAUUAAGGGAUUUGUUUAGCUAAACUAAUUAACUAAACUAAGGGUGCACAGAGAGAAAAUUGGGGAAAAGCUUUUGGGAAAACUCGAUUGAUUAAGACAAUACCCAAGGAAAAAUCCAUCUAGACUUCACUUGUUAUUUGACUUUGAAUCAGACGAUUUAUUCAUUUGACUUGAUCCGUAGAAAUCACUAAGUUAUAUUGUUAUCUCUCUCGAGACUAAUAACGUCUAACCCUUGGUUAAUUAAUUGAAAUCUCUUUCUAAUUAACACCCUAGUGUUGCAUUAACUCGAUCAAUGGAUUCCUUUAUUAGGUUUCACCUUAAUCCGGCAAAAUCUUGUCACCUUAUCUCUAGGUGUGCAAUCAACUCCACUUAAUUACGACAAAUUUACUCUUAGACAGGGACUUUUGCUCCUCUGAAUAAGCGCAUUAACUUGAAUUAAUAUCCUAGAAUAUUAAAACAAGAAUUAGAGCACAUAAUUAGGAACAAGUAAAAUAUUUAUCAUACAAGAAAAAGAUCCAUCUUAGGUUUCAUUCCCCUUAGGUAUUUAAGGGGUUUAGUUCAUAAUUAUGAAAGAAAACAUCCCAAAAGAAUAAAGAUAACAAAACAUAAAGAAAACCCAAAACUCCAAAAGGAAAUUGAAGGGAGAUUUUCUGUCUUGACAAUGAAUCCGACUUCUGAGAUGGAUUAAUCAGCUUUCAUUGAGUAAUUCCUUGCCUUCUACUCUCUGUGUUUCCCUCUAAGUGCCUCAUCAGGUGUUUAAAUAGGCUUUAGAAUGCCUAAAAGCCCUCAAAAGUAGCCUUUUCUGAAUAGGACUAAACUUGGGCUCGACAGGGACACGCCUGUGUGCGAUUUCUUCAAGACCGUGCUCAAGGCUGUUAAAUAGACACGGGCGUGUGGUCUACUCGUGUAAGGAACUUCAGGCCGUGCUAAUUUCACACGUUGGACCGUUUUCUCCGUUUUUGGCCCGUUUCUCGCUCUUUUUGCCCUCCUAUGGUCACCUAAGUAUAAAACAUGAAAUUAAUGAAUUAGGAGCAUCAAAUUCACCAAAUCUAAGGAGAAAUCAUUCAUAAAUGUGCUAAGCAUGGGAUAAAAUUAUGAUAAAUUAUGGUUUAUCAAAUACCCCCACACUUAAGCGUUUGCUUGUCCUCAAGCAAAAUCCUCAACUCAUAAUCAAAAUAAAUUCUUCUCAAUUUAUAAUCCCUAUCAAGAAUACCUUAAAAUAAACCAUAAGUAAUCAUACAUUGAGAAUUCAACUGGAAGAACAUCAAAGUUUCAAACAUUCCAAGUUGAGUAUUUUAUUACGAAAACAUAGGUGUCUCCCCUCAUCUAAGUGAUUACCUUUGAUUCAAAAUAUCACAAAGUUUAACAUCCUCACUAAAGAUUCACUCAAAUCACUCGAGGUGUUUAAGGACAAAAAAUGAAGCACUCAUUAGUCAAUAUGAAAAGUUAUUACCAUAGGCUUACAUGAAAAUCACAUCUCUACCACUAUGUAUUGAGAUGAUACAUCAAUCAAAAGGUCUUUAGAGGGUUGUAACGUGGCUUUGGUUAGAGGGUGUGGUCACAAGCUAAAAUAGAAGGUUAGAAUCGAGAUUGAGUUGAAAAAUUACCUAACUAGAAAGAUACUACAACUUGAUAAAUUACAAAAAUCCUAGAAUUGAGCUUUUCUUCAUAGGAUAAGGAGCUUAAAAACUUAAGCUCAAAAACAAAGAAUUACUACUAAUAUGAAUGCAUGUUUUUUUUUACGAAAACAAGACAAAUAAUAUAAAAAUUUUCUAAUUAUUACAACGAAAAAAAAACAUAGCUAAGCAAUUAAUUCAAAUCAAAUCUCAACAAAAAUAGAGAUCAAAUUAGGGGAUUUCAACAAUAAUGGGUUAUGGGUUAAUAAUGAGGGUAAAUCAAUGAAUGGCUUGUUAGGCUCAAACGGGUUCACUAAGGGUUAAUUAUGAGGGUAGGCUUUUAUGGAGUAAGUGAGUUAAACCUAAGUGCGUUUAUCAUCUUGACAUAACAAAUCAAUGGUGUGGUCUUAACAUGCAUAAUCAAGCAAGUUCUAGAAUAACGAUUUGAUAUUGACACACUCAAAGCAACAAUAAAAGUGAGCAUGAAAGAAAUAAUAUUGGUCUAAGGGCUCAUGAUCUCACAAAAAUUAUGGCUUUUUUAUGUUUAACCUGUGAAUUUCAGCUCAAGAUAAUACCUAAACUUGGGGAAACAACCUAAUUUUUUUUUAAUUCUCAAAAAUCAACUUAUCAUGCUUGAUUCUCUAAUUCCUUAAAGUUUAAAUAGUUAAUGCAUAAAUGUCUAUGUUUUAAUUCAAGACAUAUUAAUAGAAAAUCAUAAAUCAAUCAAAAUUUAUUCUAAUAAUGAUAUGAGAAGAUCAUAUGAGAAUAAGACAAAAUUCAGGGAUUUUUCUGAUAAUGAUAUAAAAGACCCCCCACACUUAAGAUGUACAUUGGCCUCAUUGUACAAAGUUAGAUUUAUGAUGAUAUAGAUAUAAGAUCAUAAGAUAGGGAGAGAAGUGAAACUUCCUGAAUGAUGAAUGGACUCUUUGAAUUGGAGUUAUGGAGAAUAAUCGGCCAAGGCAAUGAUAAGAUUGGAAGAGGAUACUUCAGUGGUGGUAGAGGUUGGGUUCCACAACCAUAGUGUCCAGCGAAGAGGUUAUUGUGAUGGUUGGUCAGGACAUGGCAGUUGUGGAGAACCUUUUCUAGUGGAGUUUCGAGUUCCUAGGUGAUGAUGAGCUUUGAAGCUCUUUAUAACUAUAAUAACAUCAAGAACUCUUUAGGAAAUAUAAAAAAGCAUAAUUACUCGUAAUGAAAUAGCUGAAACUAUAAAUUGUUUAAUAAAAAUUAUAAAACCUAAAAAUGAAAUAAUAUUAAAGGAAAAUAAAAUAAAAAGUACUUAAAAAAGAUAAAUAAAGAUAAAAGUAAAAAUAAAAAUAAUAAAUAAAAAGUUCUUAAACAUCGUCAUCGUCGGAUGGUUCUUUCGGUGGUGGUGGUGAUGAGAUGUGAAGGUGCUAACAAAUCUGAUGUAGAGUAGCAUCAAUGUGAUCAAAGCGCUGAAAACACUACUGCUCAAAUCGAGUAAGGUGCUUAGAGAUGUUAGAGUAUGAAGCCGCCGCAUGAAUUGGACGAUGGAUGGGUGGUGGUUGAGACGGUGGGUCCUCGUGUUGUGGAGGGAUAUCAUCAGUAACGUCCUCUGGGUCCUCCUCCUUGGCGGACUAGACGAGGCGGUACUGGGGAGGGUGAACUCCACGUCGUCGCUUGAUCAUCCUCAUAUGAAGCAUGCUCGAGAUGCCCUAUGGGGACAUCUGGCCGAUGAGGGUGAAUGAGGAUGAUUGUGCUGCUGUGUUGAGGAACUCAAAGUACCGUGCUAAUCUAGUCACUUAGGGGCCAAUGGAGAUGACUCCUCUCCUAUGCCGCUCCGUCUGAUGGCGAAUGGCGAGGGCAAUGAAAUAGGCAAGGUCGAAGACGUGCCCGUUCGCCAUACUCCACAAAAAGUAGGCAUCAUGGGUGUUGACGACGCUGGUGCUCUCUCGCCACCCUACCAGAGUGUAGGCCAAGAUGGCGUGUAAGUAUCUUAGGGAUGGGGCGAGGUCUAAUGCCUUAGAGAGACUAGGGUCGUAAGUGGCCGAAGCAGGAACGAGGGCCCUCCAGCAGUUGGAGAGAGACAAGUGGAUGUGGCGAUGGAGUGUGUAAAAAUCAUCAUCGUCCAUGAACUCCUCCGUAUAGAGUCCUAAAGUGAUGCCGAACUUAGGUACGCUUAUCUGGCAGACUAAACCACCGAAGUGGAACUAGACCGUUCUGGGAUCAUCGAACUCCGUCAUAACUACUUGGAGGUGGAAGGUUGAACAGAGUUCGAGUGUGAGCUCGAGGUACAUCAGCUCGACGAUCUCAAAGAAUAGUCCCCACUGGUUAGUCAUCAGGAGGGUUCGGACCGCAUCAGCCAGUUGGAUUUGUUUAAGUGCAGCCCAGUCAAUGCAGCAGCUCGCACCUAAGGGUCGGGCCGGUAGUAUUUGAAAAAGUUCCUCCAGUGGUCGCGGUGGGAAUCGAAGGAAUGGGUGCCUGAUUUUAAUGGUAGGACCCGAGGAUGACGUUGCUCCUUUCCUCUUCUUCGAGGCGGGUAUAGCGGUUUUCUUGUCGCGUGGAUUUGACAUAGUAUCUGCAAUGAAAACAUGAAGUUAUAGGAAUAAACCGUACGAAUAGAAAAACAUGCAAGUAUGUUAAAUACCAAUAUUUCAUGGUAGUUUUCUAACUAAAGGGAAAAUCUAUUGAAAACCAACCAAGUCCUAAUGGAUAUAUCAAAUCAUUAUUAUGAAUAUAAAUAUGAGAAUGAUGCUAAGGGAAAUAACUAGUAGAUGCAUGCAUAUGAGAAUGAAUAAAGGUUUCAUAAAAAAUGGAAAAGAACUAUCAUUAGAACUAUGAAGAUAAUAGUUAAAUAAAACAAGAAUAGAUCAUAAAUUUGGAAAAGGAAUGAAGAUAAUAAAGAGAAAAGAGUGAACAAACGCAAUAGGUUGGUGGAGGGAAGAGCGGAGAGAUGAGUUGGCCACAGGCAUGGGCAGUGAUUUCUUGGCCGUGCAUGUGCUGUGGUGGAAGGGGAAAAAGAAGGAAAAAGAAAGGAGAGAAGGGAAGGUGGAAAAGGGAAGAAGAAAGGAGAGUUGAAGGGUGGCCGGUCGGUUGGCGCACAGGCGUGGCAGGGAGGGCGUGUGAAGAAGUUGUGGCGGCUAGGGUUAGGGAUUUUGGGAAGGGGAUGAUGAAUAGUAGGGGUUUAUAUAGGUAUUGGGGUACACGGUUGUGGGACACGCCCGUGUACCCUUAUUUUAGCCCGUGUGUUUUACGAUUUCAAAUUUGGGCUGGUUUGAAAUUCGUCCCACGCUCGUGUUCUUUGGGCAUGUCGCUGCACACGGCCAUGUUCUACUUCGUUCGCUUCUCCCACACUCAUGUGUAUAGGUGCACGCCUGUGUUGGUUUAUCAAUCUUGAGCACGGGUGGUGGGCAUGGGCGUGUCGCACGCCCGUGUUAAAUUCUCAAUUUCAACCAUGGUUUCUAGACACGGGCAUGUCGCACGCCCGUAUUAUUUUGAUAGACUCGCCCAUGGCCACGUCAGAUGGCCGUGGCAACUUAUAACAUCUCGUGUUGGGGAAAAAUUUAACCCUAUUUUCACGCGGCCAUAUCGUACGGUCGUGUCUCCACCUGUGGUGUGAGCACGAUCUAAGGUACGCCCGUGUGCCUGGCCGUGUGGAUUAGAAAACCUGUGUUUCAAGGACUCAAUUAGUGAUUAGAUGUUAAAAACUAAAAUUUUAAAGAAAUCAAUACUGUUAGUGCUCGGGUUGCCUCCCAAGAAGCGCUUAUUUAUAGUCUAAGCUCGACUUACCUUGGUUUUACAUAGUCAUGGUGGUUUGAGGAGUUUACACUCCUCAUCCCUAUUAUCAAUUUCAUAAAAAUAAGGUUUUAGACGAGUAUUAUUUACCUUGAACGUACCAAAUUUGGGAUGAAUUACCUCGACUGUGCCGUAUGGGAAAAUGUUAAGUACCGUAACAGGGAUUUCUCCAUUAGGUUCAGAGGUGGCAAUCCGAAGGUCUGCUGUAUCUAGUAGUACUUUGUCUCCAACCUUGAGUUGAUUUGGUGAGAUAUUGAGCUUGUCAUGGCGUGAUUUUGGUUUAUUGUGUGUCCUCGAUUUAUGUGUCUUCCAUUCAUCUAGUUCCUCAACCCGUAGCCUUCGUUCUUCAUAGAUAGGUCCCUUGUCGUUACUUAAACAUAGCUCAUGUGUGCUCUUCGAAUGUGUUUCCUGCAAAGAAGUUUUCACCACAUGAUCAGUAUUAGUAGUACAAUUUAUACAAUCACCCUCGAUAUUUGAUGUGUUACUUGAAUUACGAACUUGAAGAGUGAUUAUUUAAUCACCCACACGAAGUGUGAGUUCACCUGUACCAACAUCAAUUAUCGUUCUAUCAGUUUCUAAAAAGGGACUCCCUAAAAUUAAAGGCAAGUUACUAUCCUCCUCUAUGUCUAGAACAACGAAAUCAACUGGGAAUAUAAUUUUCUCAAUUUUAACAAGUACAUCUUAAAUAAUACCCCUAGGAAAUCUGAUUGUUUUAUUUGCUAAUUGAAUGCUCAUCCUAGUUUGUUUGGGUUUCCCAAGACCUAGUUGCUUAAACAUUUUGUAAGGCAUGACAUUGAUACUAGCCCCUAAAUCAGCCAAGGCAUUAUUAACAUCCAAGCUACCAAUUAAACAAGGAAUGGUAAAACUCCCUGGAUCUUUCAAUUUGUUGGCCAGCUUAUUCUACAGAAUGGCUGAGCAAACUGCAUUCAUCUCCAUAUGCGACGCCUCAUCUAACUUCCGCUUAUUUACUAAAAGCUCCUUUAAAAAUUUGACUGCGUUCGGCAUCUGUGAAAGAGCCUUAAUAAAUGGUAAGUUAAUAUGUAAUUUCUUUAAAAGUUUAAGGAAUUUACCGAAUUGUUCAUCUGAGUGGUCUUUCCUUGUUGCAUUGGGGUAUGGUACACAUGGUUUGUACUAUUUACUUACCCAUUUUUGGUCAUUGUGGUCCACCUCACCUUUACCUUUACUUACUACAGUUUCUUGCCUUGGUUCUGGUCAGGUGCAACUAACCCUUCCACAUCUUGAAUGGUAAUCAUAUUGAGCUACUCUCUUGGGUUAGAUUCAGUGUUACUUGGUAGGCUACCUUGUGGUCGUUCAGACAUCAAUUUAGCGAGCUGGCCUAUUUGAGUUUUGAGCCCUUGGAUCGACGCUUGUUGAUUCUUAAGUGCUGUCUCGGUAUUCUAAAAAUGAGUUUUUGACACCGAGAUUAAUUUUGUUAGCAUCUUCUCAAGGUUCAGCUUUUUCUCUUGUUGGUAAGAUGGUUGUUGGAAGGUUGGAGGUGGUGGUGGUGGUGGUCUCUGAUUCCCUUGUCCUACCCAUGAGAAAUUUGGGUGGUUCCUCUAUCCUGCAUUGUAAGUGUUGCUAUAGGGAUUAUUUUGAGGUUGAGGAUUAUUGCCCAUAUAAUUUAAUUGCUCAUUUUCCAUGUUGUGGCCAUAAAGUGGGUAUUCUGAAUUGCUCGUUCCUCCUUCACUUGCAUUGUAUUGCAUUACUAGGUGAACCUGUGAAGAACCAAGAAAAUCAUCAAUUUUUCUAUUCAAAAGUUCUACCUGAUUAGAGAGCAUGGUGACCGAAUCGACGUUAAAAAUGCCGGCUAUUUUCGUUAGCUUUGUCCUCAUGACUUGCCACUGAUAAUUAUUCUGUGACAUCUCUUCUAUAAAUUCAUAAGCAUCCUCAGGUGUCUUAUUAUUGAUAGUCCCACCAACGGCUGCGUCAACCAUCUGCCUAGUUGAAGGAUUCAGGCCAUUGUGAAAAGUUUGAACCUGUAGCCAGAGUGGUAACCCAUGGUGAGGGCACCUUCUCACCAGGUCCUUGUAUCUCUCCCAUGCAUCAUAUAGUGUUUCUAAAUCCAUCUGUACAAAAGAAGAGAUAUCAUUCCUUAAUUUAUCUGUUUUAGCCUACAGAAAAUAUUUUAGUAAAAACUUUUCGGUCAUUUGUUCCCAAGUAGUGAUUAACCCUCGUGGUAACGAGUUCAACCACUAUUUAGCUUUGUUCCUCAGUGUAAAGGGAAACAACUUAAGGCGUAUGGCAUCAUCAGAAACGCCAUUGAUUUUAAAUGUGUCAACAAACUCCAGAAAAUUCGCCAAGUGAUUGUUUGGAUCCUCAUCCUGCAAACCAUCAAACUGUGCAAAUUGCUAUAUCAUUUGAAUUGUGUUAGGUUUCAGUUCAAAAUUAUUUACAGCAAUAGCAGGCCUAACUAUAUUUGACUCAGUUCCUAUUAAAUUUGGUUUAGCAUAAUCAUACAUAGUGCGUGGAGCAUGAUUCUGAUUUACUAGAUCAGCGGCAAUCGCAGGAGGUAGCGAAUUUUCCUAAUUUUUAGCCAUCUCCUCGGUUGUGGUUUGAAUAUCGUCUUCUUGCUUUUCCUCUGUGUAUCUUAAGCUUCGCCUUAUUUCUCUUCAGUUUCUGUGAGCUGUCCGAUCGAUCUCACUAUCAAAAAGUAAUGGUCCUGACGGGUUUCUUUGUGACAGCCCAAAAUUGACCCUAGUCGGGAAGUGGUUUCGGGACCGCUAAACCGAGUCGUAAAAAUAAUUAACCGUCAUAAUUGAUGCUCAUUAUAUGUACAUGUGCAUGUGUGAAAAUUUCGUGUUUGAAUUUUGUUAAUUGUAAGUGAAUUUCAUCAAAUAGGACUUAUGUGAGAAAAUUUUAAAAUGUGAUAGGUCAAUGCGUAAGGACCUAUUGGUGCAUGUGGAAAAAGGGGGGACUUGCAUGUCAAAUUCCCCCCCUAAUGAGUAGUGGCCGGCCAUGACAAGCAUGGUAGACCAAAUGUGAUGGGCAAGACAUGUCAUAGACAUAUUGUGUUAGUGCAUCAUGAGUGGAAACAUGUCACAAACAUGUUAUGUUAGUGAGGUAUGUUAGGAGAAAUAAAAUAAGGAGCAUGGGCAUAAAAUAAUGAAAAGGAGUAUGAUGAAUACAAAAAAAAAUGUGUGUAGUUGUUUUCCCCCCCAUUUAGCCGAAACUAGAAAGAAAAACAAAAAAAAAGUGCUCAUCCUUUGGUUCAUCUUUGGCCAAAAAUUUUAAGGGGGAAUGAAGAAGAAAGGUUGAAGAGGUUCGGCCAUGCAUGUGACUAGGCUAAGGUAUGUUUGGUGAUGUUCCAUGAGAUGCAUGCAUAUUUUAGUUGUUAGCUUGAGUUCUACCUAGCCCAUGGUCUAAAUCUUGCUAUAUGAUGGAAAUAACACUCGGCCAUGGAUGCAUCAUUCUUGGUUGAUGUUUGAUGUUGUGGUGAUGAGGCAUGAAGAUGAGUUAAGUUUCGGCUAAGGUGGAUUUGUGUUGAUGUCAUUUGCAUGCUAAGUGUAAAGCUUUGUAAUGAUGCAUGUGAUGGUGGAUUGAUGAUUCUUGAAUCUUCUUUUUAGCAUUUUUGAGUGAGCACAUAUGUGCAUUGGUUGCUACAUGGAGAAGAAUCGGCUAGCAAGUUGUGUGCUAAGGCCGAAUAUAAUUUUUGUAUAUUAAUGAGUAAUGCAUGUGUUAAAUUGAUGGAAAGGGAGAGGAUGCUUUACUAGUGUAUAUAUGCGUGUAUUAGCCAAGUUUUGAACUUGAAACAAAAAGGGUGUUUAGUCAAUACAAGUGACCAUACUUGUAGAAUGUAUUAAGUGUUGAAAUCGGCCCCAAAAUAGACAUGCAUAUUCGGCCAAGGCGGAAAAAUUAGCAAAAAUGUUGAGUUUGAUUCAUGAUUCCGUACAUAUGUGACCUUAAUGUCUAAUGUAUAAAUAUGGGCUAAGUGCCUUGUGUUCCUCUUUUCGAUGCUCAAAUGAUUAAAUCAAUUUAUUUGUUUAAUUAAGCUCAAGAGCAAAGGGGAACUAAAUCCGAUAAAGGGAAGGAAAAAGUGGUCGAAUAGCUAUCGGAAUCGUUCGACAACACUCGAGGUAAGUUCUUGAGUAAGAGAGCUUAAAUUAAGAUUUGAUUAGAUCAUGUUUUAAGCAAAUCAAAAUCAUGCUCUUUGUGUGUGGCUAUUGAGCCGAAAUUACAAGAAUGAUAAGUGUCUUGUGUUCGAGUUUUGCUAACGAAAAUGAAAUACGAAUGUGUCAUGAUUUAUUGUUAAAUGUGCAUGGUUAUUUGAAUGAUGUCCGGGCUAAGUCCCGAAGGCUUUGUGCUAAGUGACCAUAUCCGGACUAAGAUCCGAAGGCAUUUGUGCGAGAUACUAAAUCCGGACUAAGAUCCGAAGGCAUUUGUGCGAGAUACUAAUUCCGGGCUAAGCCCGAAGGCAUUUGUGCGAGUUACUAAAUCCGAGUUAAGUCCCGAAGGCAUUUGUGCGAAUUACUAUAACCGGGCUAUGUCCCGAAGGCAUUUGAACGAGGAGCUAUAUCCGGUUAAAUUCCGAAGGUACGUGAUUUGGGAAUGAAUGAUCUUGCUGUAAAAAUUUCAGUUAAUACUCUAGAAACAUCCCAACAUUGAGGUAUGUUUCGUAUGUGCUUGAAUUUAGUUGAGCCCUUACAAAUAAGUAUUCGCUCAGUUGAUAAAUGAGCUACCGGCCUUUGGCUAAGUUGAUCUUUUGUGUAUGUACAUAAGGGUUGAUAAUGUGAAGCAAGUAUGAUAUCGAAAAUUUGUGCAUAUGAAAUUAUCCGUUUAGCUAUUUGAAUGCUAUACUUUUGUUGUGCUGGAAUUCCUUGCUCAAAACUUACUAAGCAUAAAUUGCUUACUCCGUUUCAUUGCUCCUCUGUUUUAUAGAUUUGGUUCUCCAGCUAUCGGACUCGGGAUCUUGAGGUCAAAGUCGCCCACACUAUCAAAGCCCCCUUUUGGUACAAUUUUGGUUGAACUUCGAAAUGGCAUGUAUAGGACUACCCGUUUGUUGUGGGUCGUGGACCCUUGGGACUUGUAUAAAUUUUGGAUAGCCAUGCGAAAAUGGCUUAUAUGUGUUUGAGUAUAAUGUUAUAAUCAUUUGGUGUGGAUAUGCUUGACAAGGAUUGGCCAUGGGAAUGGUUAAUCACUUUCAUAUAUUGUGCUAUUUAUGUAAAAAGGGCUAGUUGAAUCAUGGAAACCAGGAAAUAGGUAAAGUCUACCUUAAAGGCAGAUGCUGACAGCAGCAGUGAUGUAGAUUUGGAAAAUCACUAAAAAUAGUAGGAAUGGAAUUAAAUAGUGAAUAAAUUAUGUAAACGAACCUUGAUGAAUCUAUUUUCAUAGGAAAGUAACGAAACAAUCAUACGGACAGUAUGUUAAGAGAUAUUCAGGUUCUUGUGAGAUAGGGCCAGAACGGUUUCUGGAUUUCCUGUUCCGACUAUGGAAAUUCAUUAUAAAUUAACCAGAGAUAAUUAGGAGUCAAGCCAUAUAUGUAUAGAUUCCUCUCUGAGUCUAGUUUCUAUAGAAACAAACGAAAUCAGUAUUGAAUCCCUGUACAGGGAGAUAUCCAAGUCGUAAUGCGCAAAGGUCAGGGUAGUCGAUCCCUGUAACAUGGGAGACUUUGACUAAUAAACUGUACUAAUUGGCCCGACUAAAUAUUCUAGAAAAAAAUAUGUAGAUGGGUAUAUGAGUCUAGUUUCAGAGAAAAUUUACGGAACUGGAUUCCGAGUUUCUGAACUCAAGAUAUGAUUUUCAAAGCAACUAUUAGGUAGAUUGGCAGUGUCUGGAAAUUUUUUUUUUAAAAGUCUGUUAACACCUCGUGUUCGACUCCGGUGACGGUCUCGGGUUCGGGGUGUUACAUUUGAUUGGUAUCAGAGCUACGGUUUAGUCGAUUCUAGGACUACCGUAAUGCAUUGGGUCUAGCUAUACAUGCCAUUUUAUGUGAUUACUUGAUAGUGUGGUGAUUUCUGACAAUUGUAAAUGUGUUUAUUUAUAGUAAUGGAUCCCGAUCCCGACCGAGUGGUAGCUGAUGAUCUUGAGAGUGUAGCGCCUGCUCCCGCACAAGGGACAGCGCCAGCGGACUCUCAACCUAAUGCUAGUAACCCGAAUGAUGAAGCUAGACAAGCUUUCUAUAGCGUGAUGAAUGAUUGGUUCAACCAAUACAUUCGAACUAAUACGGCUGUUCCACAACCUCCAUUCCCGACUAAUACCACCCCCGCACCUACAAUACCUCCGGUAACUGACCAAAUAAGGUCAAAUAAGCCCCCAGUUGACAAAAUCCGAAAACAUGGGGCUACUGAAUUUAAGGCUACGGAUAGCGACGAUGCCGGGCAAGCUGAAUUUUGGUUGGACAACACUAUCCGGGUACUCGAUGAGCUAUCUUGUACACCCGAUGAAUGCCUAAAGUGUACUAUCUCCUUGCUACGCGAUUCUGCCUACUAUUGGUGGAGUACUCUGACUUCUGUUGUGCCCCGAGAGCAAGUAACUUGGGAGUUUUUCCAAACUGAGUUUCGGAAAAAGUAUAUCAGUCAGAGAUUUGUUGAUAAAAAACGGAAAGAAUUUCUUGAGCUUAAGCAAGGUUCCAUGUCAGUUAUUGAUUACGAGCGAAGAUUUGUUAGACUUAGCAAAUACGCUCGGGAAUGUGUUUCGUCCGAGGCUAUCAUGUGUAAACGCUUCGAGGAUGGGCUAAAUGAAGAUAUAAAAAUGUUCGUUGGCGUUCUAGAAAUACGAGAGUUCGUAGUACUUGUCGAGCGAGCUUGUAAAGCCGAAGAGCUUAGAAAAGAAAAACAAAAAGUUGAUGAGGGAACUGGAGAGUUUCGUAAAAGAUCUUCAGGAAAGUCUCUUCAACAGGCAUCGAAGAAAUUUCGAGAUGAUGUGGGCUGGUCGAGAGGCACUUCGGGCCUUUUUAGACGAGAUCGUGAUCGACUCCCUGUGGGUACACGAGGCACUUCGGUCGCCAGUGUUGGGAAUGAACGUCGAGACAGAAUGAAAUGUCGAUAUUGCGGUAAAUGGUAUUCGGGGAGUUGUAGAUUCCCUGACCGCUCCUGUUACAAGUGCAGAUCAGUUGACCACUUCAUUAAAGAUUGCCCGAGGUUGUCUGAAUAGAAUGUAAAUCAGAGUGGGAAACCGAGUGCUACCACUGCUCGAGGUAGACCAUUUGGAAAUACGGACAAUGCUGGUGGUGGUCAGAGAGGAUCUAGAGAUGCUACGACCAGAUCCGAGGCUCGUGCGCCUGCUAGAGCUUAUGCUAUACGUGCCCGCGAGGAUGCUUAUUCGCCUGAUGUUAUUACCGGUACUUUUACUCUCUUGAUACUAAUGUAAUUACUUUGAUUGACCCCGGUUCUACUCAUUCUUACAUAUGUGAAACCUAAUCUACUGAGUUCGUAAUUCGGGUGUCAAAUCCCUUGGGUCGUUACGUGCUUGUCGACAAAGUGUGUAAGAAAUGUCCCCUAGAAAUUCGAGGUUCCUGUUUUCCGGCGGACUUGAUGCUUUUUCCGUUUGAUGAAUUUGAUGUUAUUCUUGGUUUGGAUUGGUUGACCGCGCAUGAUGCGGUUGUGAAUUGCAAAAGCAAGACUAUUGAUUUGAGGUGCGCAAAUAACGAAGUAAUCCGAGUUGAGUCUACGGACUUGGAGGGGAUGCCAGCUGUAAUAUCAGCAAUGUUGGCCCAGAAAUAUGUAAGAAAAGGGUGCGAAGCAUACCUUGCGUAUGUACUUGAUGACAAAGAAUUAGAAAAGAAACCCGAAUCUGUGCCGGUGGUUUGUGAAUACCCGGAUGUUUUUCCUGAAGAAUUACCGGGUUUACCACCUGUUCGGGAGGUAGAGUUUGGUAUUGAGCUUGUACCUGGGACUACGCUGAUUUCGAUAGCUCCGUAUCGUAUGGCACCAACCGAGUUAAAAGAGUUGAAAGCUCAGUUGCAAGAAUUGACGGAUAGAGGUUUUGCUCGACCAAGUUUCUCACCUUGGGGUGCACCAGUAUUGUUCGUGAAAAAGAAGGACGGAACCAUGAGGUUGUGCAUUGACUAUCGUCAACUGAAUAAAGUGACGAUAAAGAACAAAUAUCCGUUACCGCGUAUCGAUGAUUUGUUCGACCAACUGAAGGGAGCCUCAAUGUUCUCAAAAAUAGAUUUGAGAUCGGGCUAUUAUCAGUUGCGAAUUCGAGAAUCGGACAUACCCAAAACUACCUUCAGGACAAGAUAUGGUCACUACGAGUUCUUAGUGAUGCCGUUUGGGCUCACUAAUGCCCCUGCGGUAUUUAUAGAUUUGAUGAAUCGGAUCUUCAGACCAUAUUUGGAUCGGUUCGUAGUUGUGUUCAUUGAUGACAUCUUGGUCUAUUCAAGAGAUGAGACCGAACAUGCUGAACAUCUGAGGCUAGUAUUGCAAAUUUUGCGGGAUAAGCAGUUAUAUGCUAAGUUCAGUAAGUGUGAGUUCUGGUUAAGAGAGGUUAGCUUCUUGGGUCAUGUAGUAUCCGCAUCGGGUAUUCGAGUUAACCCGAACAAAAUUUCAGCCAUACUUAACUGGAAACCUCCGAGAAAUAUUACUGAGGUUCGGAGCUUUUUGGGGCUCGCCGGUUAUUACCGACGAUUUGUCAAAGGUUUCUCGAUGAUAGCCACACCAAUGACGAAGCUACUUCAAAAGGAUGUUAAGUUCGAAUGGACGGAGAAAUGUCAGAAAAGUUUCGAUCAACUGAAAACUCAUUUGACUGAAGCUCCAAUUUUAGUGCAACCCGAAUCAGGCAAAGAGUUUGUCAUUUAUAGUGACGCAUCCCUACUUGGGUUGGGUUGCGUAUUGAUGCAAGAAGGUCGAGUUGUGGCCUAUGCGUCGAGACAAUUGAAGCCACACGAGAGAAAUUAUCCGACCCAUGAUCUCGAACUAGCUGCCAUCGUAUUUGCUUUGAAAAUAUGGCGACAUUAUUUGUUUGGUGAGAAGUGCCAUGUAUUUUCGGAUCACAAAAGUCUCAAAUAUUUGAUGACUCAGCGAGACUUGAAUCUGCGACAAAGACGUUGGCUUGAGUUGUUGAAAGAUUACGAGCUUGUCAUUGAUUACCACCCGGGAAAGGCUAAUGUGGUUGCGGACGCCUUAAGCCGGAAAUCAUUGUUUGCUUUACGAGCGAUGAAUGUGCACUUGUCUGUUCUACCCGACAAUGUGUUAGUAGCUGAAUUAAAAGCCAAACCAUUAUUGAUUCAUCAAAUUCGUGAAGCUCAGAAAGUUGAUGAUGAAUUGGUUGCAAAACGGGCUGAGUGUUUUCCGAACAAGGAAUCGGAGUUUCAAAUUGAUGAUGAUGAUUGUUUGAGGUUCAGAAGUCGUUUGUGUAUUCCAAGGAAUUCGGAACUCAUUUCGAUAAUUCUGAACGAAGCCCAUUGUAGCCGAAUGUUAAUUCACCCAAGGAGUACGAAAAUGUACAACGAUUUGAAACGUCAAUUUUGGUGGCAUGGUAUGAAACGAGACAUCUCCGACUUUGUUUCGAGAUGUUUAAUAUGUCAACAAGUGAAAGCGGAACAUCAAGUGCCUUCAAGAUUACUUCAGCCGAUCAUGAUACCCGAGUGGAAAUGGGAUUGAGUCACAAUGGACUUUGUGUCCGGACUGCCAUUGUCAGCAAGUAAGAAGGAUGCGAUUUGGGUUGUUAUUGAUAGACUGACUAAGUCGGCUCACUUUAUCCCCGUGCGUACGGAUUUUUUAUUGGAUAAACUAGCUGAAUUGUAUGUUUCUCAAAUUGUGAGAUUACAUGGGGUACCUAUUUCUAUCGUGUCGGAUAGAGAUCCAAGAUUCACCUCACGAUUUUGGAAGAAAUUGCAAGAAGCUUUGGGUACCAAGCUGCAUUUUAGCACUGCUUUUCACCCCCAAACCGAUGGUCAAUCCGAGUGGAUAAUUCAGAUACUUGAGGAUAUGUUGAGAUGUUGCAUCCUCGAGUUCAGUAGUUCAUGGGAACGGUAUUUACCUUUGAUUGAAUUCGCUUACAACAAUAGUUUUCAAUCAAGUAUUAAGAUGGCACCUUACGAGGCUUUGCACGGUCGUAAAUGCCGUACACCAUUGUUUUGGACCGAGCUCGGUGAAAGUAAAAUUUUCGGAGUUGAUUUGAUUAAAGAUGCCGAACAGAAAGUAAAGUUAAUCCGUGAAAGUCUGAAGGUAGCCACAGAUCGUCAGAAAUCGUAUGCGGAUUUGAAACGAAAGGACAUUGAAUAUCAGGUGGGAGAUAAAGUGUUCCUUAAAGUUUCGCCUUGGAAAAAGGUACUCAGGUUUGGCCGUAAGGGCAAGUUGAGCCCGAGAUUCAUUGGGCCGUACGAAAUCUCCGAACGAGUUGGUCCGGUUGCGUAUAGAUUGAUUUGCCCCCUGAGCUUGAAAAGAUUCACGAUGUCUUUCAUGUUUCGAUGCUUUGACGCUAUCGAUCUGAUCCAUCGCACAUAAUUAGCCCAUCAGAGGUUGAAAUUCAAGCCGAUAUGAGUUAUGAAGAAGAACCGAUGCGUGUCCUAGCUCGUGAAGUGAAGGAGUUGCGAAACAAAAGGGUUCCGUUAGUGAAGGUGUUAUGGCUCAAACACGGGAUGGAGGAAGCUACUUGGGAAACCGAGAGCUCGAUGAAAGAACGAUACCCAAACCUAUUUACCAGUAAGCUUUUCGGGGACAAAAAUUUCUUAAGUGGGGGAGAGUUGUGACAGCCCAAAAUUGACCCUAGUCGGGAAGUGGUUUCGGGACCACUAAACCGAGUCGUAAAAAUAAUUAACCAUCAUAAUUGAUGCUCAUUAUAUGUACAUGUGCAUGUGUGAAAAUUUCGUGUUUGAAUUUUGUUAAUUGUAAGUGAAUUUCAUCAAAUAGGACUUAUGUGAGAAAAUUUUAAAAUGUGAUAGGUCAAUGCGUAAGGACCUAUUAGUGCAUGUGGAAAAAGGGGGGACUUGCAUGUCAAAUUCCCCCCCUAAUGAGUAGUGGCCGGCCAUGACAAGCAUGGUAGACCAAAUGUGAUGGGCAAGACAUGUCAUAGACAUGUUGUGUUAGUGCAUCAUGAGUGGAAACAUGUCACAAACAUGUUAUGUUAGUGAGGUAUGUUAGGAGAAAUAAAAUAAGGAGCAUGGACAUAAAAUAAUGAAAAGGAGUAUGAUGAAUACAAAAAAAAAAUGUGUAGUUGUUUUCCCCCCCCCCCCAUUUAGCCAAAACUAGAAAGAAAAACAAAAAAAAAGUGCUCAUCCUUUGGUUCAUCUUUGGCCAAAAAUUUUAAGGGGGAAGGAAGAAGAAAGGUUGAAGAGGUUCGGCCAUGCAUGUGACUAGGCUAAGGUAUGUUUGGUGAUGUUCCAUGAGAUGCAUGCAUAUUUUAGUUGUUAGCUUGAGUUCUACCUAGCCUAUGGUCUAAAUCUUGCUAUAUGAUGGAAAUAACACUCGGCCAUGGAUGCAUCAUUCUUGGUUGAUGUUUGAUGUUGUGGUGAUGAGGCAUGACGAUGAGUUAAGUUUCGGCUAAGGUGGAUUUGUGUUGAUGUCAUUUGCAUGCUAAGUGUAAAGCUUUGUAAUGAUGCAUGUGAUGGUGGAUUGAUGAUUCUUGAAUCUUCUUUUUAGCAUUUUUGAGUGAGCACAUAUGUGCAUUGGUUGCUAAAUGGAGAAGAAUCGGCUAGCAAGUUAUGUGCUAAGGCCGAAUAUAAUUUUUGUAUAUUAAUGAGUAAUGCAUGUGUUAAAUUGAUGGAAAGGGAGAGGAUGCUUUACUAGUGUAUAUAUGUGUGUAUUAGCCAAGUUUUGAACUUGAAACAAAAAGGGUGUUUAGUCAAUACAAGUGACCAUACUUGUAGAAUGUAUUAAGUGUUGAAAUCGGCCCCAAAAUAGACAUGCAUAUUCGGCCAAGGGGGAAAAAUUAGCAAAAAUGUUGAGUUUGAUUCAUGAUUCCGUACAUAUGUGACCUUAAUGUCUAAUGUAUAAAUAUGGGCCAAGUGCCUUGUCUUCCUCUUUUCGAUGCUCAAAUGAUUAAAUCAAUUUAUUUGUUUAAUUAAGCUCAAGAGCAAAGGGGAACUAAAUCCGAUAAAGGGAAGGAAAAAGUGGUCGAAUAGCUAUCGGAAUCGUUCGACAACACCCGAGGUAAGUUCUUGAGUAAGAGAGCUUAAAUUAAGAUUUGAUUAGAUCAUGUUUUAAGCAAAUCAAAAUCAUGCUCUUUGUGUGUGGCUAUUGAGCCGAAAUUACAAGAAUGAUAAGUGUCUUGUGUUCGAGUUUUGCUAACGAAAAUGAAAUAUGAAUGUGCCAUGAUUUAUUGUUAAAUGUGCAUGGUUAUUUGAAUGAUGUCCGGGCUAAGUCCCGAAGGCUUUGUGCUAAGUGACCAUAUCCGGACUAAGAUCCGAAGGCAUUUGUGCGAGAUACUAAAUCCAGACUAAGAUCCGAAGGCAUUUGUGCGAGAUACUAAUUCCGGGCUAAGCCCGAAGGCAUUUGUGCGAGUUACUAAAUCCGGGUUAAGUCCCGAAGGCAUUUGUGCGAAUUACUAUAACCGGGCUAUGUCCCGAAGGCAUUUGAACGAGGAGCUAUAUCCGGUUAAAUUCCGAAGGUACGUGAUUUGGGAAUGAAUGAUCUUGCUGUAAAAAUUUCAGUUAAUACUCUAGAAACAUCCCAACAUUGAGGUAUGUUUCGUAUGUGCUUGAAUUUAGUUGAGCCCUUACAAAUAAGUAUUCGCUCAGUUGAUAAACGAGCUACCGGCCUUUGGCUAAGUUGAUCUUUUGUGUAUGUACAUAAGGGUUGAUAAUGUGAAGCAAGUAUGAUAUCGAAAAUUUGUGCAUAUGAAAUUAUCCGUUUAGCUAUUUGAAUGCUAUACUUUUGUUGUGCUGGAAUUCCUUGCUCAAAACUUACUAAGCAUAAAUUGCUUACUCCGUUUCAUUGCUCCUCUGUUUUAUAGAUUUGGUUCUCCAGCUAUCGGACUCGGGAUCUUGAGGUCAAAGUCGCCCACACUAUCAAAGCCCCCUUUUGGUACAAUUUUGGUUGAACUUCGAAAUGGCAUGUAUAGGACUACCCGUUUGUUGUGGGUCGUGGACCCUUGGGACUUGUAUAAAUUUUGGAUAGCCAUGCGAAAAUGGCUUAUAUGUGUUUGAGUAUAAUGUUAUAAUCAUUUGGUGUGGAUAUGCUUGACAAGGAUUGGCCAUGGGAAUGGUUAAUCACUUUCAUAAAUUGUGCUAUUUAUGCAAAAAGGGCUAGUUGAAUUAUGGAAACCAUGAAAUAGGUAAAGUCUACCUUAAAGGCAGAUGCUGACAGCAGCAGUGAUGUAGAUUUGGAAAAUCACUAAAAAUAGUAGGAAUGGAAUUAAAUAGUGAAUAAAUUAUGUAAACGAACCUUGAUGAAUCUAUUUUCAUAGGAAAGUAACGAAACAAUCAUACGGACAGUAUGUUAAGAGAUAUUCAGGUCUUGUGAGACAGGGCCAGAACGGUUUCUGGAUUUCCUGUUCCGACUUUAGAAAUUCAUUAUAAAUUAACCAGAGACAAUUAGGAGUCAAGCCAUAUAUGUAUAGAUUCCUCUCUGAGUCUAGUUUCUAUAGAAACAAACGAUAUCAGUAUUGAAGCCCUGUACAGGGAGAUAUCCAAGUCGUAAUGCGCAAAGGUCAGGGUAGUCGAUCCCUGUAACAUGGGAGACUUUGACUAAUAAACUGUACUAAUUGGCCCGACCAAAAAUUCUAGAAAAAAUAUGUAGAUGGGCAUAUGAGUCUAGUUUCAGGGAAAAUUUACGGAACUGGAUUCCGAGUUUCUGAACUCAAGAUAUGAUUUUUAAAGCGACUAUUACGCAGAUUGGCAGUGUCUGGAAAUUUUUUUUUAAAAGUCUGUUAACACCUUGUGUUCGACUCCGGUGACAGUCUCGGGUUCGGGGUGUUACAUUCUUCUAGUCAUACACUAUAAAAAACCUGCCAGAAGCAAAUAAAAGAGAAAAUUGGAAAAGAAAAUCAAAAUUUAAAUUGUAAAUAAAGUAAAAUGGCUAAAGUAAUAAAAAUCGAGUGUUCCUAAUAUCUUAGUUCCCCUGCAACGGCCCCAAAAACUUGAUAUGUGAUAUUCGCGACAGGUUUUAAAAUUUUAUAUUUAAUCGUUCUUAAAACUAACUAUUAUCACGAUGAAGGCAAGUGUACCUAUUGAAUUGUAGUAUAGCUUUAGCAAGACCGGAUUGUCGAACCCAAAGGAACCAAGAGUACUAUUAAUUACUUUCUUUUUAUUAUCUAGCCUAAAGAUUAAGGGAUUUAUUUAUCUAAACUAAUUAACUAAACUAAGGGUGCACAAAGAGAAAAUUAGGGAAAAGCUUUUGGGAAAACUCGAUUGAUUAAGACAAUACCCAAGGAAAAAUCCACCUAGGCUUCACUUGUUAUUUGACUCUGAAUCAGAUGAUUUAUUCAUUUGACUUGAUCCGUAGAAAUCCCUAAGUUAUAUUAUUAUCUCUCUCUUGACUAAUAAUGUCUAACCCUAGGUUGAUUAAUUGAAAUCUCUUUCUAAUUAACACCCUAGUGUUGCAUUAACUCGAUUUAUGGAUUCCCUUAUUAGGUUUCACCCUGAUCUGAAAAAAUCUUGUCACCUUAUCUCUAGGUGUGCAAUCAAAUCUGCUUAAUUACAAGAAAUUUACGCUUAGACAGGGACUUUUGCUACUCUAAAUAAGCGCAUUAGCUUGAAUCAAUAUCCUGGAAUAUUAAAAAAGAAUUAAGAGCACAUAAUUAAGAACUAGUUAAAUAUUUAUCAUACAAUUCAGAUAAUAAUAACAAGAUUCGUCUUAGGUUUCAUUCCCUUUAGGUAUUUAGGGGGUUUAAUUCAUAAUUAUGAAAGAAAACAUCUCAAAAGAAUAAAGAUAACAAAACAUAAAGAAAACCCAAAACUCUUGAAGGAAAUUGAAGGGAGAUCUUCAGUCUUGACGAUGAAUCCGGCUUCUAAGAUGGAUCAAUCGGCUUUCCUUGAGUAAUUCCUUGCUUCUACUCUCUGUGUGUCCCUCUAAGUGCCUCCUCAGGUGUUUAAAUAGGCUUUAGAAUGCCUAAAAGCCCUCAAAAGUAGUCUUUUCCGAAUAGGACUAAACUUGGGCUCGACAGGGACACACCCGUGUGACACGCUCGUGUGCGAUUUCUUCAAGACCGUGCUCAAGGCUAUUAAAUAGGCAAGGGCAUGUGGUCUACUCGUGUGAGGAACUCCAGGCCGUGCUGAUUUCCCACAUUGGCCCGUUUUCUCUAUUUUUUUCCCGUUUCUUGCUUUGCUCUCCUAUUCUCACCUAAGUGUAAAACAUGAAAUUAAAGAAUUAGGAGCAUCGAAUUCACCAAAUCUAAGGAGAAAUCAUUCAUAAACGUGCUAAGCAUGGGAUAAAAAUAUGUAUAAAUUAUGGUUUAUCACUAGGACUGUGUUUGAAACCUUGAGUAUUCCGGUUAAGAGUACUUCUAGCAAGGUAACUGUUGUGAGUCCAUUAGGACAGUCUAUCUGAGUAAGUAAAUUGUCUAGAGACGUUUCGUUAGAGGUCCAAGGGACAGUAUUUCUGGAUGAUCUAAGGUAGCUUCCGUUUUGAGAGUUCGAUUUGAUUUUAGGAAUAGAUUGGCUGGUUAAACAUUGGGUGAGUCUGAAUUAUGCGAUGAAAAGGGUUAUCUUGAGGACUGAGGAGGAUAGUGAGGUAGUGGUGAUUGGGGAAAACACGACUAUCUGUGAUUUCUGCUUUGGCAGCAGAAAAGUUAGUGAAAAAAGGGUGUGAGGCAAUCUUGGCCUACGUCAGUAUUCUUAAUUCUGUGGACUCUUUGGUUAAGAACAUCAGAACUGUGAAAGAUUUUCCAGAUGUGUUUCCUAAGGAACUACUAGGCUUGCCUCUGACCUGUGAGGUAGAGUUUGGGAUUGAGUUGAUUCUUGGCACAGCUUAGGUGUCUAUCGCCCCUUACCGAAUGACACCAAAAAAGUUGACAGAACUUAAGGCUCAGAUUCAGGAGCUAUUAGACCGUGGGUUCAUUCGUCCUAGUGUGUCUCUGUAGAGAACACCUAUUCUAUUUGUAAAGAAGAAAGAUGGGACAAUGCGGAUGUGUAUCGACUAUCGACAGUUGAACAAGCUAACAAUUAAGAAUAAAUGCCCACCUCUGAGGAUUGAUGAUUUAUUCGACCAGUUUAGAGGGGGUUUUAUGUUUUCUAAGAUCGAUCUGCGUUCAGGUUACCAUCAGUUGAGAGUCAAGGAGGCCGAUGUGCAUAAGACUGCAUUUAAGACUCGAUAUGGACAUUACGAGUUCGUAGUUAUACCCUUUGGUUUGACUAAUGCACCAGUGACAUUUAUGGACUUGAUGAACCGUGUGUUUCAGCCUUACUUGGACCAAUUUGUGGUGGUUUUUAUCGACGACAUUUUGGUGUAUUUUAAGUCUAAGGACGAGCACGAUGAGCAUCUCAGAGUGGUUCUACAGACUCUUCAUGAGAAAUAGUUGUAUGCGAAGUUCAGCUAGUGUGAGUUCUGGCUUCGGAAAGUGACAUUUUUGGGACAUGUAGUUUCGUCCGAGGGGAUUCGUGUUGAUCCUCGUAAGAUUGAGGCUGUGUUGAGUUGGAAACAGCUGAAGAAUGUGUCUAAAAUUUGCAGUUUUCUAGGGCUGGCAGGAUAUUAUCAACGAUUCGUAGAGGGGUUCUCCGUUCAGGGAUACUUCGACCUCGAGUCGAUGAGACACUGGGUGUCACUAUAUUUCUUCGGAUAGAUUCGAUGAGGUACUGGGUACCAACUUUACUUCGGCUAGGCCGAUGAGACACUGGGAGUCAACUAUUGCUUCAAACUAUCUGAUGAGGCACUGGGUGCCAUUUGGCGUGUUUGGUUGGAUCCGUGUAUCCGCCAAAGUCCGAGUUAUGUUAAUAGGGUGAAAAAUUGAAAUGUGAAUUUGAGGUAUUAAAAUGAGAAAAAGAAAUUGAAUUAUGAAUUAGAAUUGCGAAAGAAGUAGAAAAGUAUGAAUUAAAUGUUCAUAAGUGAUUUAAAUUCAAGUUUGUGAAAAUUAUAUUGAUUUAUGAAUAAUUAAAUUGAAUUGUUAUUAUGAAAUGAUGAAAGAAAAUAAUAAUAAUAAUAAUAAAGUAUAAAUUAGUAUAUAAGAAAUUAAUUGUUAUGUAUUUAAUAUUUAUGUUUUAUUAUUGUUGAUAUAAUUUGAAUUAUGGUAAUACAACUGAGUAUAUCCAUACUCAGCGUACGGUUGUUUUCGUGCGUAGGUUAGUAGAAGUCAAGUGUCCCGGCUCAGCAUCCAUAACAAUCCCGACUCCAACAUAAAUUUGGUGAUGUAUAUUUUUCUUUUGGGUAAAUGUGGCAUGUACAUAGGUGUUGUUUAGUCACUUGAAUAUGUAUAUUACUUUGGGUAGUGAAGGAUGAAUUAUAAGAUUUAGAUGGUUAAAUGAAAUGGUAAGGAAAGUAUAUGAUAUUUUGAUACAUGAACAUUAUGUUGUUAAACGAAUGAAGUUUUUAAUCAAUUUUGAAUGAUGCUGUGAUAGUUAUUAAGUUAAAAUUAUGUUAAUAAUAUAAAUAUUAGUUAUAUGAAUGUGAAACAUUGGUGUUGGUUGUUUUGGUUUGAAUUUGCAGGGGGUUUUAGGUAAAAAUAAGCAGAAAUACUGUCAAAAUUUUUACAAAAAAAUAAAUAUAUAAAUAAAUACGAAAAAUUUUCUGAAAUACUGAAACAAGUCCAAUUCUACUUUUAAUACGUGUUUUGAGCUUCGGGAGUUCAAUAUAGGGACUUAAUUAUUAUAUUAUACUAUGAAAGUUAUAUUAAUUGUAAAUUAUUCAUUAAUUGUCUGAUAUGUCCGGUAAUGCCUCAUAACCUCGUUACGGCGACGGUUUGGGGUUAGAGGGUGUUACAGUUGUUGGUAUCAGAGCUAUCAAGUUUAGCCGAUUCUCGGGCUAAAUUGGGCUCAGAAGUGAGUUUAGAAGUAAAUGCCACUGUCGAGUCGAAAUUGUGUCGGGAUUUUUUGGAUGUUGACCUAUUUGUUUGUUUGUGUUUUAUAGAUUAAAGAUGUCUGAUGAAAGAAUUAAUGAUACUGAUGAAGAAAUGCAUACUGGUGAUGAGGAGUCGUAUGGAUUAGAUGAAACAGAGUCAGUAACACCUAGUAUAAAUCCAGAAAGAAAUCAACCACCUAGAGUUGAUAGAAGAAAUAACAGAGAUGAUUCUGAUAUAUUAAGAAUUAUUGCCGAUGCUUUGCAAAGAGUAGCGGGAAUCGCUCCUGCUACGACUUCAGUUCCAACUCAAAAAUGGGCCCCGAUAAAGGUAUUAAGGAAGUAUGGUGCCACUAAAUUUAUGGGUCUUAAAGGAGUCGAUCCGUCCGCAGCUGAAAAUUGAAUGGAGUCGACUAAAAGAAUUUUACAGUAACUGGAUUGUACCCCCCGGGAGAGUUUGAUUUGUGCUGUAUCAGUACUGCAAGGGGAGGCUUACUUAUGGUGGGAAUCAGUGGUUCGACAUUUACCAGAGGAUCAGAUAACAUGGAACCUAUUUCAGAAA
rnacentral:lncRNA from 1 species